AUCUGGAAGAAGUUUUGAAAUUUUACUACCUCCAAACUGUUCAAGUUGGUACUAAAUCUACUAUUAAAGCUUAUUGCAAUGUCUAAGAUUUGGGCAUAAAUAGUUUUAUGUAAAAGAAAUAAUUCUUGGUCUCUCUUUAUGUAAUAUAAUAAAGGCUAUCCCAACUCAACAUUGAAGAUAGCCAAAUCAACUGUGUCUUGAAAGGGUUGUAAAAGUUGUAAUAAUGGUGAAGACAAAUACAUAUUUCUAGUGUGUUGGUAUUAUGUUUUUAACCAAUCUGUAAAUAGACGUAGUCUACACUCCUUUUGUAUCAUUCGAAUUUGACAUAGUGAAUUUUCUUUUUCUCCGCACGUAGUUUUUCCCCGAAAGGGCUUCCACGUAAAAUUUUGUGUGUUCUAUUUUCUCUUUCUUUAUCAUUCAUUGUCAUUAUCAACGUUCAACUUUUACAGUAUAAUUUAUCAUAAUAAUUCAUUAAGAAAGUUUUUUCAUGUCGUGUUUGAAUUAUAAUGACAUAAUUUAAAGAAAACUAUAUGUUUAUAUUUUAUUUCAAAUUUUUAAUGCAUCUAAAUUAUUAUGAAUUAUGUUAUACUUUACUUAGUAAUUCCUUUUAUGUAGAUUAUGUUUAUGUACUUUUCAUGUAAUUUUUGUGUCACUUAUAUUUUAUCUAUUUUUUAUAUUAUUUUUAACUCAUGCUUUAGUUUAUUUCAUAUUUUGUAUAAUUUGUUAUAGUAAUUUAAUUUUUAUCAUAUUCAUGUCUCUCUUGUUGGGAAAUAGAAAUGAAAUAAAACAUAAUUUUGGUAAUUAUUUAGUAAACAAGUAGUGGAAAUCGUUAACUCCACAAGUAAAGUUAAGAUUUUGUUACAUGUUUAAUUUCUUUUUUAUUUCAUUUUUUAAUUACAAUUUAAGGAUACAUGGCAAAAUCUUAUCUUUGUUUGUGGAAUUAAAAAUUUUCACGACCAAUGUACCAAAUAAUUAUCCUAUAAUUUUAAUGAGAAUAUAUUUUGUACAUUGUUAGUGGAGUUUUUAAACUUCACAAGCAUAGUUAGGGGUUUCACAAGGAUUCUAUAAAGGUAUAGUAUAAUAUUUAGAAAAUAUUAAAAAAAUAGACACAUAUAAAAAAAUUAAGACUAUUUGUGGAAUAAAAAAAUGCAUUAUCCGUAUACUAAAUAUGUAACAUGUUAGAAUUAAGUGACCCAAAUCCUUAUUUAAAUCAAAUACAAUGGUAAAAUAAAAUAAAAGUAAAAUCCCUAUAGAAUUAUACUUCUUUUUUUAAACCUUAUUUGUAACACCCCAAAUCUGGCCUAGAUGUUAUGGUCGAAUCUGACGUGUCACAUUUGAAGUGUCUUUCGAAAAUUGGUAUUGUUGGUAAUAAUUUCAUUUCAAAGUUUAAAAACCUCUUAAUUAUUAUUUGACAAAUCAUCUAUCCAAAACAUUUACCUUGCUGUCUUGCUUUUGUUAUAGUAAGCUGAUCUAAAAUCGCGGAAGCUUUUGAAACUCUGUUGUUUAGGUCUCGUGUCUUUGAAAACAAUAAUUAUUUUGAAAAUCCGUCUUCUCCUAAACUGACAGUUUAAAAUAAGUAAGCAAAAGACCAAUUAAAAAUUUAAACAAACUUAUUGGCCAUAUUACAAAAACAAAACCCAAUAUAUAAGUUAAAUUAAAAUAAAAGCAAGUGUAAACAGCAGCAGUUGUGUGGCCACCUCCAAAUCCCUCGCAGCACUGAAUCGCCUAUGGCUGAGGAUUACCUGCACAGUUAAAAGGAGAGGGUGAGUUUACGAAACUCAGUGUGUAAUCUUCUACCAAACAGUCAGCCUACAACAUGCAGUAAUAGUCUGGGCCUGAGCCCUAUGCAGUAACAGUACAGUGUGGGCCUUAGCCCGAUAUAGUAACAGUGUGGGCCUUAGCCCAAUACAGUAACAGUGUGGGCCUUAGCUCAAUACAGUAACCGUGUGAUAAUGCAACCCAUCCCAAUCCAGCCAACACACCAGUGCGUACGACCAACACACCAUGUAGGGAUAAAAUCGACUUACCCAGCCAACACACCAAUAUCGCAGCAAAGCUACCAGUAAAAGUAUUGCAGUGAAGAUGCCCGUAACAGUAUAUGUGGCAAAGCCACCAGUAUAGUAUACUUCCCCUAUAUCAACUUCUCAACCCCAUGCAGUAUGUCAUGUCAUAAAUCAUACGUGUAUGCAGAGUAUCAUAUUCAAUCAUAACAUACAUAUCAUAGAGCAAAUCGGUCAUACAUACAUAAGGCCAUACAAACAUUUCGACUCCUAGGGGUAUAACAAUCAUUUUACCCUCUGGAGGUAUUUCGAUAGUUUUACCCUUCGAGGGUAUUUCAGUUAUUUUAUCCUUUGGGAGUAUUUCGGUCAUUUUACCCUUCAAGGUUAUUUCGAUUAUUUUACCUUUUGAGGGUAUUUCAGUCAUUUAUUAACCGCUCGAAAGGCCCGCAGUCGCCUGGAGUGACUUAGGUAACCUAAAUGGUCAUAAUAGUGUAAAUGGGCACAAGGCCUAUUACUCGGCCCAAGUGGGCCCACACACUAGUGCAGUCCGUUCAGCCCAUAAUUCGCCACAGCUAUGAUUUCUACAUAACUCAGUCUAUUAUUUGCCACAAAUCGUAGUUUUCAUCCGUGAGGGGCCCACGAGCCUAUUGGGCCCAUACGCCCUAUUUUGGCCCAACGUGGCCCAUUGUAGCCUACGCCCAUGGAAUUGCUCAUGGAGGCCUCUACAGUCUAUUGCCCAUGAUUUGAGGAUUUGGUUUACCACAUGAGCGAUCACACGCUCAUGUGGUCUCAAAUGCAGUACAUUCAGCUUCUCGGCUUUUGCCAUCUAACAAUUAUAGCGGGGUGUCUACACUCCUGAUUGUGAAAACGCACCAAGAUCCACGAGCACCCAAAAUCUACAUUCAUACAAGUUUCCAAUUAGUCGCUAAAUAAUAGGGUUAAUCUCCUUCUUUUACAUUCUUAACCAAAACUAAAUUAAUACUUGCCUCGACUGUCAAAAGUGUCUUAGUCCACUUAUACCACUGACGAAGGUUAACUACAAUCUUUUUGACGAAUAUCUGCAUUGAAAACGGAUUUAUGAAACAAAAUUGUUUAAUCAUGUGGUUUAAAUCCACUUCAUGAUAACUUACAGAAAAACAACAAGCAUUCGGCCUACACCUAGAAUGCUAGCCCACAUACCUGUCUUAAAUCGAGAGAAGAGAGAAAGGUUUUGACGACUUGGUAUCAGUUGAUACUCCUACAAACAUCAAGGAGAUCGAACCGUCAGAGAAGAGUGAUAUACAGCUGAACCAUAGACAAUAAAGGGAGAUACCCUCGAUCAAAAAGGAAAUAAUAGGAGGUAUAAAUCAAAGACAGAAAAAGAAUGAUAUUCGGCCAAAAAAGAAGAAGAGAAGUGAAGAGAAGAGAAAGAAGGUUCGGCCAGCAGAGAAGAGAAGAGAGAAAAAGAGAGAAGGGAGGAUUUGGCAAUAAGAGGAGAGGGGGAAGAGGAAAGAAGAAAGCAGAAAAGGACAAACCCAAGAAGUACUUCCCAACACUUGGCAAAAAUUUGGCAGAUACUACCCCAAAAAGUUCUUCCAAAUGACGAAAACAAGAACUUUUCCCCCUGAGCUGAAUUCUGAAGGCUUGAAUUACCCUAAACAGCACACACUACCCCUCCUAAUCAAAUUCCUUGAUUUUCUCCUAAUAUCUCUCCCUUUAUGCCUCAUUGAUUUACUCCACCAAUUCCUUUUCAACUCCCCCAACAACUCCAUUCAAAUCCUAUUCAAACUCCCCUUAGUUGUGUUUCAGUCCAACUCCACUACCUACACUGCUCAAGCAGCAAAAUAAAUACUCCAUUGGACAACCUAGGACUUGAACCUUAGACCUCACAGUUACACAACACGCCACCUUGCCACUAGACCACAAGCUCUUUUUGUGUCAUAAAACCAAAAAUAAUAUUUAUAAGGCCUAUAUGCCUAAGUCUAGAUUCAUUUAAGAGUAAAACUAAAAAUUCUGCAAAAGCUAAGACUUGAACCCAGGCUUCUCAAACACCCUCAUACACACCCAUAUCACUUAACCAUUAAAGCAAACAAGCAAUUUGUGUCAAAUCAUGCAAAAAUUAAAGAUUUAGAUUUUUCGGGCGUUACAUUAUUAAACUCCAUCUAUUUGAUAUUGAUUAGAAUAAGGUGUUUCAAUCUUACUACAUUCCUAUUAGAAUAUGGUUUUACAAGCCUAUAAAUAGACAUAGUCUACUCCUCUUGUAAUCAUUCGAAUUCAACAUAGUGAAUUUUCUUCCCCUCUGUCCGUGGUUUUUUCGAAAGGAUUUCUACAUAAAAUCUGUGUUAUUUAUUUUUAUUUCUUUUUUGUGAUAUAUUGUCAUUAUCAACAUUCUAUUUUUACAAAUUGGUAUCAGAGCUUUCAGGUUGUUCAUCUCAAUCACAGUAAUGGCAUUUUUGAAGUAUGAAAUUCCACUGUUAGAUCGUAACACCAAAUUCGCGUUGUGACAAAUAGAGAUGUAGGCAGUUCUUGCACAAAUGGACUUAGAGGAAGCCCUGCUAGGGGUAAAUAAGAUGCCUUCAACAUUGACUGAGGAAGAGAAGAAGUGUGAGGAUCGAAAGGCCUUAACACAGUUACAUCUACAUUUGUCUAACGAAAUUUUACAGGAUGUGAUAAAUGAGAAGACCGCCGCUGGAUUAUGGAAGAGGUUGGAACAAAUAUGUAUGUCGAAAACUCUAAGUAGUAAGCUGCAUAUGAUGUAGCGUCUUUAUGCUCAUCGUUUGGAGGAAGGUGUGUCUGUGCACGAACACUUGACAGUGUUUAAAGAAAUUCUCUCAAAUUUGGAGCCCACGGUGGUUCAGUAUAAUAAGGAAGAUCUAGGGUUGAUUUUACUUUGUUCAUUGCCCCCGUCUUAUUCAACCUUUAGAGAUACAAUUUUAUAUUGCCACGAGUCUCUCACAGUUGAUGAGGUUUAUGAUUCUUUAACCUCGUAUGAUAAGAUGAAGCAUCUUGUGGUUAAAAUCGAAUCUCAAGAAGGUCUUAUUGUUCGUGGGAGACAAGAUCAGAAUGCUGAUGAUGAUCGUGGAAGGAAAAAGGAACGAAAUCCUCGUGGUAAAUCUAAGGGUAGAUCGAAGUCUUCAAACAGAGGUAAAACUUGUAACUUCUACAAGAAAAAAUGGCACAUUAAAUCUAAAUGCUAUAAGCUACAAAACAAGAUCAAAAGGGAGGCUGCGAAUCAAAAUGGAAAACAAUUAAAAAAUUUUGGUAAGGCUGAUGUUGUAGAAGACUACAGCAAUGGUGAACUUCUAGUCGCUUCUGUCAACAAUUUUAAAGUGAGCGAGGAGUGGAUCCUUGAUUCGGACUACACCUUCCACAUGAGUCCCAAUCAGGAUUGGUUUACAACUUACGAAACAGUGUCUGAAGAUGUUGUUUUGAUGGGAAAUAAUGCUUCAUGUAGAAUUACAGGUGUCAAAACCAUUUUUUGAAAAACAAAAAUUUUCGGUUGUCGACUUUUAAAAAAUGAAAAUUGGGAGUCGCCACCAAUCUUUUAUUGAGGUGUGAUUGGAUCACCUAAAAAAAUGGCUUUGGUCUACGAGUUUUAGAAAAACAGAUCCUGGAGUCGGUUACGUAUGAGGAAGGAUUAGCACCCUCAUAACACCCAAAAUUGGUACCUAGUUAAUUAAUUAAUGUCUUAAUGUCGAAAAUUUGAAAAAUAUAAUCCUUAGGAAAAACUUAAAAACAUUACGUAUUAAGACCUUUAUCAUUUCAAAGAAAGAAAAUGUCACACCAAAUGCGUUAGGGCACAACAUUUUUAUUUCCUUAAAAAUGAAUUAGGCCAGAAUACUCGUGUAAUAAAAAGUUAAAAGGAAUAUCCAUUUAUUCAAGAUUUAAGAAAUCACGGCCCAAUACGUUAGGGCACAAUUCCUCCAAAAUCCCAAACUCGGAAUAUUUCCUAUAUUAUUUUUUAGAAAAAAUCCCCAUUUCGAGAAAUCAAUGCGUCACAUCCAAUACGUUAGGACACAACGUGUUGAAUUCCCAAUAAUGAGUUCUUAUUUUUUGAUUAAAGAGAAAUGCUCGAUUGUAGAUUUAACAAAGAAAAUCAGAACCCAAUACGUUAGGGCUCAAUUCCCUUGAAAAUCCUAAAUACGAGCAUUAUCUCAAUUUAGAAUUUUUUUUUAAAAUCGAGUAAAAAAUGAUGUACUGUUAUAUUGAAUGCAUGUAUAAAUAUCGCAAUAAAAAAUAACAAUAAUAAAUACGAAAAUUGUAUAGAAAUAAGAUAAACAAAUAAAUAAAUAAAAAUAAAAAACCAAUGACAUGCAAAGUAUAACAUAUAUAUACGUACAUAUAUAUAUAAGGUAAUAAAUAUAUAAAUCAUAAAAAUAAUAAUUACACAUAUAAACUUAAAAAAGAAAAAAAAGAAAAUAUUUUGAAAUUAAUUAGUUCUAAAAAAGGGACUAAUUUUAAACUAUGAUAAAAAACUAGGGAAAAUUCCUAAAUAAAUAAAGUAUGGAGGACUAAAUUGAACGCGCGAAUUACAUAGAGGGGCUAGAAGGGCAAUUUUCCCUUCUCCUCUGAAACGGCGCCUUUCAAAAAGGUUAAAUUGAAAUUCAAAAUAAAUUAAAGGACGAAAUUAAAAAAACAAAAGAACCUAAUUGAAAAUAUAUUAAAAGGCGGAGGGGCCAAAAGUGCAAUUUGCCCCUCCGCAUAAAAACACGCGGACCCUAAAGCGAAUCGGGUCAGAUUCGGGUCGGGUACUCAAAACGACGUCAUUUUGGGCGUCUGAGGGUUCCCCAAAACGGUACCAUUUUCGUACCCUAUAAAAGCCCCUAACCUAAAAAAAAAUCAUUUCAAAACUAAUUUUUUUAAAAAACUUAAAAAAAAACUCUCCUUCCCCCAGUUCGUUCGCCAGGGGUCCGGCCAUCGGCCGGUCGUCGGCCACCGUGGCCGCUGCCGAUCUCUGGCACCAGCAUCGCCGUCUGCGAUGGCCGAAAAAGGGAAAAUCCCCUUUUUAUAAUUUUUGUAUCCCUCUAGGCCCAAAUCUGGGCUAAAAAUUUCCAAAAUCAGCGAAAAAACUAGAAAAACCCUAGAAAUCUUUCGGCAUCUAGUCGUCUGUCAUCGGAGACGAUCCUCGGCCUUCCUUUCGGUGUUUCAGAAGCCAAAAAGGUAGUUUCCUUCUCUUCUAUUAUUUUUGUUUAUUCGUACGUAAAAUAAAAAAUACAAAAAUAAAUAUAACAACAAAGAAACAAGUAUCAACCUUUUUUUUUGACCGAUUUAUUCUCUGUAUUGCGAAAGUACAAGUCCUUUUUCUAUUUGAUUUUUUUUAUCCCCAUUACAGUAUGUUUAAUGGCUUUUUAUAGCCAUUCUCAAAAUAUAUAAAGAAACUAAUCUGCUUAUAUUGAUUUGAUUUUCAAAUCUUCGAUCUUGUUUUCCAUAUACUGUUUAUUUCCUUUUUUGUGCACAGAUGAAGAUUCGGGGGCUGAGAUUCGGAGGCGAGGUUAGGUGGCUGCGGCGCGAGACUCAUCACAUAAACCCUAGGGUUUUUGAUAUUGUGUUGGGCCAUUGUUUUGGGCCUCUACUUAUUUUGGGUUUUGGGCUACAUAGGCCCGUUGGAAAUUGGGCCCUUUUAAGCCCGGGCAAAAUCUAUUGAUACAACUGCCCCUCUUUGCUUGUUGUCGCGUAACGAGAACAGAGCAAAGACUUUAAAACUCUCGAUUUUGCCCGGUCUUGUCGGAUCUUGGUACUCUUCUUCUUCUUCAAGUAGCCUCAUUCCUUCCUACUGCAUCCUCAGAGGUAUAUGGAUUAAUGUUUCAAUCUACUUUACUACAACUUUUAUAGCUUCAACUUGAUUUAGUCUACUCCUGGUGCAACUUCAGGGAGAUUAGACUAAAUACGAUCUGCUCUCUACAACUUCGGAGAGAUAAGAUCCAAUGUUUUAAACCACUCCACUACAACUUCAGGAAGAUAGGAUUAUCGACUUUAAUCUGCUCCACUGCAACUUCAGGGAGAUAAGAUUUGCCAUCUUCAGUCUGCCUCACUACAACUUCAGGAGGAUAAGACUUGCCCACUUAGUCUGCUCCACUGCAACUUUAGGGAGAUAAGACUAGAUGCGAUCUGCUCUCUACAACUUCAGAGAGAUAAGAUCUAAGGUUUUAAUCCGCUCACUACAACUUCAACAAGAUUGGAUUAUCGGCUUUAAUCUGCUCCACUGUAACUUCAGGGAGAUAAGAUUUGCCAUCUUCAGUCUGGCUCACUGCAACUUCAAGAGGAUAAGACUAGAUACGAUCUGCUCUCUGCAACUUCAGAGAGAUAAGAUUUAAGGUUUUAAUCCACUCACUGCAACUUCAGCGAGAUAGGAUUAUCGACUUUAAUCUGCUCCACUGCAACUUCAGGGAGAUAAGACUUUCCAUCUUCAGUCUACCUCACUACAACUUCAGGAGGAUAAGACUAGAUACGAUCUGCUUUCUGCAACUUCAGAGAAAUAAGAUCUAAAGUUUUAAUCCGCUCACUGCAACUUCAGCGAGAUAGGAUUACCGACUUUAAUCUGCUCUACUGCAACUUCAGGGAGAUAAGAUUUGCCAUCUUCAGUCUGCCUCACUGCAACUUUAGGAGGAUAAGACUUGCCUACUUAGUUUGCUCCACUACAACUUCAGGGAGAUAAGACUCGAUCUGUUUUCUUCACUGAUCUGCUCUCUGGGAAACAUGACCUAUAUAGUGAACCUAAUUAUGCCUAAUAAUUAGGAUGGCAUAAAAUGCAUCAAAUGCUCCAAACUAGACAUGUACGAAUGACAUUUGAAUGGAUGCAGAAUGUCAUUUUUCAAGAAUUAUCAUUUCUUGAAGUUUAUUAAGGUUUUGUCACUGACGGCUUUUGCUUGGCUGAUAUCUUCGAAAAAAAACUCAAUCAAAUUGCCCCCCAUUGUGCACUUCAAAGCUCAACCCUCUAGUACACAGAAUUUGUACUAUAUUUCUUCCAUCGUGACUUAAGAGUAGGAAAAUUUGACUCUUCUCAGUCGUCUCCUAUCGUAAUUCAAGGAUACAGAUUAUGAAAUUUGUUUACACCACUCUCAGGGUGUCUUAUCAAAUGCUUAUGCCUAAAUGAGGGGCUUUCUUUCCAUAGGGGACUUCUUCCUACCCCAUCAAGACUUCUUGCUGUCUCAUUCACUAUUUAGACAACCAAAUUCGAAAAAGCAGUCUUAAUUUAGACUUUUUCCUUCUUAGGCUCUUUAUCUUUUGAACUCAGGGUGUUUUAAACAAUAGUCCUGUUUCAGGUUACCAAAUUAUUUAGAAAUUCCCAGAGUAAUAUACCAAACUUCUUUUGUGAAAGUUUAUUAGUCCAUCAAUCAUUAUUCUAAUGCGACAUGCUUGCGCAAAGAUCAAAAAUACAGAGUAAGAGAUGAAGUAAUUCAAGAGUUUAUUGAUAGUAAGUGUCUUGAAAAGAAAAAGUAUUCAAGAACAGCAAAGAAUGAAAUAUUUACAAGAACCAACAAAUUAGGUACAAAUAAUAUGAAGACUAGGUGCUUUGGAUAUCACCGCUUGAACUUCUCCGUGCAAGCCAAAAACCCUUCUGAAUUUAAUAUGUGUUUGGGGGAUCUACAGUACUUUGUCGAUGCCCCAAGCCUCGUAUAUCCUUUUCUUGUUGACUUAAGUGAAGAGAGAUCACCAUAUGCCCCAAUCUGACAAUGUUUGAGCCGCCCUUUUUGGGUUUUCAACUCAAACCCCCCUUUGGUCCCAAGGCGCCCCUUUCGGGUUUUCACCUUGGCCUCUCCUUUUUUUAGGAGAUCAGAGCGCCCUUUGCGGGUUGUCACUUUGAUUCCUCUCUUCUUUUAAGUGAAAUAUUUCUUGACCGAAUUUGAAUUUACAGGAUUCGGAAGAUUUUUGCCAUCCAUUUCACUCAAAAUCAAAGCGCCUCCAGAAAAAGCCUUUUUCACAACAUAAGGUCCUUCCCAGUUUGACAUCCAUUUCCCUCUAAAAUCAUUUUGUAAAGGUAGGAUCUUUUUUAAAACCAAAUCCCCUUCAUGAAAUUCUCUGGGACGAACCUUCUUAUUAUAAGCUCGCAUCAUUCGCUUCUGGUACAUUUGACCAUGAUGAAUGGCUUUUAAUCUUUUCUCUUCAAUCAGGUUCAGUUGAUCAUACCGAGAUUGGAUCCAUUCGGCCUCAUCCAGUUUUAACUCAGCUAAUACCUGGAGAGAAGGAAUUUCAACCUCAAUGGGUAAAACUGCCUCAAUUCCAUAAACCAACAAAAAAGGUGUUGCCCCAGUAGAAGUCCUGACAGAUGUUUGGUAAGCCAAAAGAGCGAAUGGUAACUUCUCAUGCCAAUCCUUAUAAGUUUCAACCAUUUUCGCCACAAUCUUCUUAAUAUUUUUGUUGGCCGCCUCUACUGCACCAUUCAUUUUUGGACGAUAUGGUAACGAAUUAUGGUGUCUGAUAUUGAACUAUUCACAGACUUCUGCUAUUGUGCUGUUAUUCAAAUUCAGCGCAUUUUCAGAUAUGAUCCUUUCAGGCAUUCCAUAUUGACAUAUGAUCUCUUUCUUUAAAAACUUACUAACUGCUGACUUCGUGACAUUAGCAUAUGAGGCUGCCUCUACCCACUUAGUGAAGUAGUCAAUAAUCACAAAAAUGAAACGAUGUCUAUUAAAAGCCUUCGGUGAUAUUGGUCCAAUGACGUCCAUACCCCACAUGGAGAAAGGCCAUGGAGAAGUCAUAACAUGAAGAGGAGAAGGACGCGCGUGCAUUUUAUCCCCAUAAAUUUGGCAUUUAUGGCAUUUCUUGGCAUGAUUGAUGCAAUCUCUUUCCAUGGUGGACCAGUAAUACCCGAAUCUCAUAAUCUAUCUAGCCAUGGUAAAUCCAUUAGCGUGCGUUCUACAAACACCCUCAUGGACUUCUUCUAAAAUUUCCUUAGCCUCUACAGCAUCCACGCACCUCAACAAUACUCGAUCUUUUCCCCUUUUGUAUAGGAUCUCCCCAUCUAAGACAUAGUCAAUAGCUAGUCUCCUCAAUGUCCUCUUAUCAUUCUCCGUUGCCUGAUCCGAAUAUUCGCGAUUCUUUAUAUAUAGCAAUAUAUCUUGGUACCAGGGACGAUUAUCAUUCUCCACUUCUUUAAUGCUAUAAUAGUGGGCUGGGAUCUCAUAAAUACUAAUUUGAAUUGGCUUCAUGUCCUCUAACUGAUUCACUUUAAUCAUGGAAACUAAAGUAGCAAGAGCAUCAGCCAUCUGAUUUUCUUCCCGUGGGAGAUAACAAAAGGUAAUGUUAUCAAACUCUUCAAUUAAUUCCAGAACCAAUCUAUGAUAACGGAUCAACUUGGGAUCUCUCGUUUCCCAUUCCCCUUUUAAUUGAUAAAUUACCAAUGCUGAGUCUCCAUAUACUUCUAGUUUCUUAAUCUUUCGCUCUAUAGCUGCUCGAAUCCCCAUGAUGCAAGCUUCAUACUCGGUCAUAUUAUUAGUGCAGUCGAAGUCCAACUUACUGGUAAAAGGAUGAUAAUCUCCAUUCGGAGACACCAGGACUACCCCAAUCCCAUUGCCUAGUGCAUUCGAUGCUCCGUCAAAGUUUAAUCUCCAAGAAUGAUUUUCUUGGGGAUCCUCUUCAGCAUUUGCCACAUACAUCAAAUCUUCAUUCGGGAAAUCAAAGUCCAGGGGCUCAUAAUCUUCCAGAGCUCUGCUAGCCAAGAAAUCUGCUAUCGCACUCCCCUUGAUGGCCUUCUAACUUACAUAUACGAUAUCAAACUCAGAGAGUAAGAUUUGAUAUCUAGCCAUUCUUCCAUUCAAUGCUGUUGACUCCAUCAUAUACUUCAAAGGGUCUAAUUUUGAAAUUAGCCAAGUCGUAUGAUAGAGUAAGUAUUGCCUCAAACUCUUGGUCGCCCAAAUCAGGGCGCAACACAAUUUUUCGAUAGGCGAAUAUCUCAUCUCACAAUCAGUGAAUUUCUUGCUGAGAUAGUAAAUCGCCUUUUCCUUCUUUCUAGUCGCAUCAUGUUGACCCAGCAUGCAUCCCAUGGAGUUGUUGAACACCGUUAAAUACAAAGUAAAAGGUCUAUCUGGGCUGGGUGGUGACAGAACUGGAGUAUUGGAUAAGUAUUCCUUUAUUUUUUCAAAGGCUUUCUGGCAUUCUUCAUUCCAGACAUCAGGAUUAUGUUUCUUCAAAAGGCGAAAUAUGGGAUCACAUUUCUCAGUCAACUGUGAAAUGAACCGAGCAAUGUAAUUUAGUCUUCCUAAGAAAUAUCGAACUUCUUUCUGGGUACGUGGUGGCAAUAAAUCUCGUAUUGCAUUAACUUUGUCUGGAUCAAUCUCAAUUCCCUUUUCACAGACUACGAAGCCUAACAACUUUCCUGACCUGGCUCCAAAAGUGCAUUUUGUCCGAUUAAGCUUGAGCUGGAACCUCUUUAAUCUUACUAACAAUUUUCUCAGGACUUGUACAUGUUCAUCCUCUGUUCUGGAUUUGGCAAUCAUAUCAUCAACAUAUACUUCAAUUUCUUUGUGCAUCAUAUCAUGAAACAAGGCUACCAUGGCUCUCUGAUAUGUUGCUCCCGCAUUCUUUAAUCCAAAUGGCAUCACCUUAUAGCAAAAUGUUCCCCACAAAGUAAUGAACGUAGUCUUUCCCAUAUCUUCUGGAUGCAUCUUUAUCUGAUUAUAUCCUAAGAACCCAUCCAUAAAAGAAAACAGCGAAAAUCCUGUCUUAUUGUCCACUAGAGUAUCAAUAUGUGGCAAUGGGAAAUUAUCCUUUGGACUUGCUUUGUUCAAAUCCUUAUAAUCCACGCACAUUCGUACUUUUCCAUCCUUUUUAGGGACUGGAACGAUGUUGGCUACCCAUUCAGAAUAUUUGACCUCCUGCAAAAACCCAGCAUCAAACUGCUUCCUAACCUCCUCUUUUAUUUUGAGCACAAUACCAGGCCUCAUUCUUCUGAGCUUCUGUUGAAUUAGUUUGCAAUCCUCUUUUAUGGGUAGGCGAUGUACUACAUUGUCGGCACUCAAAUCGGGCAUAUCCUGGUAUGACCAUACGAAGACAUCUUAGAAUUUUUCGAGUAAUUCAAUAAGGUCUCGUCUUGUCUUUGUAGAAAUCUCAGUUCCAAUUUUCACCUCUUUUCCUUUUUCCAAGCUCACAAUUUCUACUGAUUCUUUGUGAGGUAGGAUUUGCUUUUCCUCUUGUUCUACCAUCCUCAACAAGUCCAAAGAUAAACCACUAUCUUCGUCACCUUCAAAGUCGUGCGAUCCCUCUAAACACACGUUUCGUUCAAAAGGGCACUCUUAGCUCGUAGCGGCGUCAUUCACAUCGUUGAUACACAAGGACCUAAUAUGGUUACAAAAGAAUGUAUGAAUUUAUGCACAAUUAUUUGUGCAAUGAAAGAAUAUAUUUACUUGUAUGGAAAGAAUAUUUACUUGAAACAAUUGCAAAAAUUGUAUUUUAUUAAAAUAAUGACGUUUAAACAGAAGCCUAUUUCACAAAAGAGUUCUUGUUAUUUCUAGGCUAAAACAAAAAGUUUGUUCUGAAUAUUACUCUGAGACAUUUCUAAAGACUUUAGGUAUUUCUUCCGCAGUCCAAUUAUCUGGAACAUUCCCGGGCUCAUAAGGACGAAUGUCCAGCCAGCUCCUCUCUUCAUUCACAUGCUUAUGAAUGGCAUUGAUGUGCGUAUUUCCCAACGUCUCCUCGAUGCUUUCCUCAACCGAUUUCUUUUUCUCAUGAUGAAUAACUCCUCCAGAUACAAAAGUUUUGGAUAUGUGGGGGAUUAUCAUUGGCUCCCACUUAGCUUCCUCCCCAUUUAAACGCGCCCUUCUCCUUUCCUGCCUUUUUUCUAUCUCCUUCCUUCUCUGUCCUCUAUCUGGUUUGUAUCCUAAGCCAAAGUGAUCCUGCUUUUCUUUUAGCAUUGGAACCUUAGUCCUCCCUUGAAGAUAUCUCCCUAGCCCUCUUUCGGGUAAAGCUCUUUUUCCCACCAACAAUUGUAAACCUAUCUCUGUAGUUUUGGAUAAUUUUGGCACCAAAAUUUUUCUCCCUUCAGGAACAAAUGCCGCAUUUACAAACUCCAAAUAUCGAAAUGAGUAUUCUAUUGACUUUUCAUUGGUCUCCACGUAUGACGUCUCAUUGGAUACAGCUGCUAUUAUAUCCUCUUCGGCUUUUAUUGUCACUAGCCGACCAUCUGACACUAACUUCAACAUCUGAUGUAACGAUGACGGUACUGCCCCCGCCGAAUGUAUCCAUGGUCUUCCUAAUAAACAAUUAUAGGAAGGUUUGAUGUCCAUUACAAUAAAAUCUACCUCAUAAACUGUUGGGCCAAAAAGUAGGGGUAUCUCAAUUCUUCCCAUGACCUUUCUUUUUGUACUGUCAAACGCCCUCACUACAUUUGGACAUGUUUUCAUGUGCGAACUGUCUAUGGGUAGCCUGUUAAGUGUGAAUAAUGGCAAUACGUUCAAAGCUGAUCCAUUGUCAAUCAGUACUCCUGGCAAAAUAUGCGUCUUGCAUCGUGCUGUGAUAUGCAAAGCUUUGGUAGAUCCCAUUCCCCCAGGAGGUAUUUCAUCAUCAUUGAAAAAUAUGAAAUUAUCAGCACUAAUAUUAUUGACCAACCGAUCUAGUUUGCUGACAGAAAUAUCCUUGGACACAUAAGUCUCAUUUAGCAUCUUCAUUAGUGCAUUUCGAUGUACAUCUGAAUUCAAAAGUAAGGCUAGUACAGAUAUGCGAGCUGGUUGUUUAUGCAACUGCUCGACGACAUUAUACUCACUAUGGUUUAGAAAUUUGAGGAAUUCCACAGCUUCUUCCUCCUUUACUGGCUUAACUAUUCUCCCUUUCUGUUUCCCUAUUAUGGCCCCUUUCAUAGGUUCUGGUUUGGCACUCACACACUGGUCAUUUGUAGUCUCUUUUCCAGGGAUAGUUGUAUUGCACUCAUAGCUCCAUGGAACCUUCCUACUGUCCUGGUAAGAAAACGUUGCAGGUUUCUUUAUUAUGAUUCUUGGCAUCACUGGCGUUCUUACUUCAUCCUUCUUUGGUCACGAGAUGAUGACCACAGGCUGCGCUACUCUUGGAACCUUCGAGGAUUCAGAUGUGCAAAUACUCCCUUCCUCCCUAACUUCCUCAUAAAAUUCCAUUUCUUUAUUAUCCAUCAGGCCUUGAACCAGGGAUCUGAAUUCAGUGCAUUCCUGGAUUUCAUGUCCCUCCUCGUGAUGGAACUCACAGUAAUUUUCCAUCCUUUCGAAGCUUUUCUCUAAAUUCGGAACCAUCAAUCCCCUUUUUACCAUAUUUCUCCAGACCCACCUCAAAGGAAUUUUCACUUCUGCUAUGUCUUCCUUGAUUUUUCUACCCAUGCUCCCACCUAUCAUGUUCACUCCGUUAUGAUUAGGAAUCGAAUUUUCUGUACUAGGCGAAUCAUCCAAUUUAACCACACCCAUGCUUAUAAGUCUUUCCACCAGCUUCUUGAACGCCGUACAAUGUUCUAUAGAAUGCCCCUCAAUUCCCGCGUGAUAGUCGCACUGUGCAUUUCAUCGUACCACUUGGGGUAUGGAGGCUGCAGAGGUUUCAAGUGGAAAGGGGAAACCACGUGUGCAUUGAAUAGAUUUUGAUAUAGCUCUCUAUACGUCAUUGGAACUGGCGUAAAUUGAAUAUUCUCUGUAUUUUGUCUUGAAUCAGAUCUCUGCUUUGAUGAUCCUUGCUGAUUAACAGCCAUUUUUCCCGGCCGAUUCACUGUAACCGUUCUCUUUCUUCUUCGAGGCCGCCCUUCUGCUACUUUCUCCAACAUCUAUUUUCCCGCUUCUGAUAGCAUUUUCUAUCAUCUCGCCAUUCAUAACUAUGUCGAAAAAACUUUUAGUAGCACUUCCUAACAUAUAUGUAAUAAAUGGUGCCUUCAAUGUGUUGACGAAAAGCAUCGUCAUCUCUCUUUCUAGAAGAGACGGCUGAACUUGUAUGGCAACCUCCCUCCAUCUCUGCGCGUAUUGCCUAAAGCUUUCACCUGGCUUCAUUUCCAUAUUCUGCAGAGUGAUCCUAUCAGGUACCAUGUCAGUCACAUGGCUGUACUGCUUUAUGAACUCUUGUGCCAAAUCUCUCCAUGAACUAAUCUGGGUACAGUUCAAUCGAUUGUACCACUUGGAUGCUGCCCCUGUGAAGCUAUCCUAGAAGCAAUGAAUCAAGAGUCGGUCAUUAUUGACAUAACCGGUCAUUCGUCUGCAGAACAUGGUAAUAUGAGCUUCGGGGCUACUGGUUCCAUUAUAUUUCUCAAACUUUGGCAUUUUGAAUUUGUAAGGGAGCACUAAAUCCGGAACCAGACUCAAUUCUUUACCAUCCAUCCCAUAGUAGCCUUCUGCACAUUCCAUCGCUCUAAAUUUCUCUUCCAGCCAUUUGUACUUUUCUUCUAGCUGUUUUGGCAACUCAUCAUUCAUUUUCUCCUUUUCAGCCGUCUCAUCGAAAUCAGGAAUAGCAGGACUAACAAAGUUGGCUCUGGGGUUAGAGCCUAAUCCUGUCUGGAGAUUCAUUAGCGUUGCAGCGUCACCCGGAGGAUUAAUGGUAACAAAGGACCUAAGCGGGUAUAUCUCAACUUGUCGAGGGAUAAAGUCCGGAGGAUAGACAGGUCCCUCAUUGUCUCCUUCUUCAAUAUUGAGCACAGAGCCUUUUCCUUUAUCAGUUCCUUUGUUGAACAAUUGAGUUAACUGAGCCAUCAUACUCCCUUGAGAUUCCAUCAUUUUAUCUAUCAUCUUUUGCUGCUCAUUCAUUUGGUUUUGAAGCUGCUCCUACAUUUCCUUUUGGGAUUGUUCUAGUCUUUCCAUCCUUUGAUCCAUAUCCUUAGUUUUCGAUCGAGUACUGUAGUGGUGUUUGGUAGGUUGGUUGGUUUCGAUUGAGUACUGCAUGAAAUGAAUGCAGAAAGGUGUCAAUUUUGAUUCAAUUCCAUAUAAUAAAACUUUACUAUAAAUUAAAUUCCUUUAUAUAAAGUGAAUUACAAAUAAGACUUUGCCCUAGUACCCAGAACUCUAAUCUUUCUAAGUAACAAAGCUAAUUCUUGCCCCCGAUCCGAUUCUAAUUCAUACUUCACACUCAGCGUGUCAGCCUGUACUGCUAAAGUCUGUAUAUGAUCAGCUACUUCUCGAAUCUGGACCACAGCUUUCUCGAUAAGAUGAUCUCUGCUUCUAACCUGACUUUGAAAGUGGUGAAGCUGUUCAUUAUUACGACUCUCGUUUGCUUUCAAGUGCUUGAUCUAGAUCUCAUAAUUUUGUAGGUUCGUUUCUAGCUCUUCGAUUCUUUUAUUCAUUUCUUCAAUCUUGCUCAAGCUAGCUUUCAACUCUUUUGCCAAAUUUCGAUUUCGAUAUUGACGAUGACAUCCUUCCAACACCACCACCCUAUCCUUUAGCUCGCCUUUUUCCCUUUGGCUUUCUAACAAACUCUUUUCUAAAGCUUCAUUUCGUCUCUGCAUCUCUUGACAUUUCUGUUCCCAUCUAUCGGCUUUUUCCUUUUCUUCUCGGAUUUCUGCUCGUCAUUGUUCUGAAGUCUUUCCCAGCCCAGCAGUUCUCAUUGACAAACGUAUUUUUUAUAAUCUGUCUUCAGACUACCUAGCUCUUCCUCAGCCUUGUUUUUCUCUUUCUUGAACUUCUCAUUUUCAAGCUUUUGAACGUCUAUAUCAAAUCUUAAGUUCAUCUUUUCUGCCUCCAUUUGCUCUAUCUUUUUCUCCAAAUACGUAUUUCUCCUCUCAAAAUCUUGCCUUAUGAUUUCCAUCUCAGAAAGAAUGACUCACAAAUGCUCUUCUAUUGACUGACUAUCUUCCUGAUUUAACUUAGGUGUAUUAUCAUUAAUCCUUCUAGCCCACCAUUCAUGAUACUCAGGAGUUGUCAUUGGACCCAUAGCUAGCCUCUUCAUUCGGCGAGUUUGUUUCCACGCACUAGCCAUCUCUUGAAUCUUCUUUCUAUAACCAUCAUCAUUAUAUGAAAAUUCACAAUCAGCUAUCCCUUGGGUCACAGGUAUAAAUUGCCAUGACCUAUAAUGCCUUAGCACCAAUAAUGGGGCAUAUCCAGCAGCUCUCGAACCCCUAGCAAAGGAACCCAAUCAAAACUACCACACCUAUACAAGAUCUCAUCUGGAAGUAACCAAGGAGCUCUUUGCUCAAUGUCCUCCUCUCAAAGAUUUUAAAGAAUUGCCAUCCACUUAUCCUUCAAAAUGUCAUCUCUCCUUGGCGUAGCGACUAUCUCCUUUAGCGGUGAAUAAUUUUCAGAGAAAACCCGAUACGAAACUUUAUCCACCUUCCAAAAGUGACUAUGAAACCAUGCGAGUAGAAGUUGAGCACAUCCAAUAAAUCUACCUUCGCCCAUGCACUCAAUGACCUGAAAGUUUCUGCCAAAAUUACUAGAAUCGGUGUAACCUUCUUAUCGAGCCGGUCGAAUAAAUCAGUGACUGUUUCAUCCACAUACCCCAAGGCUUUAGGGAAGACAACCAAACCGUAUAUACUUAAAGCAAAAGCAUCUAACCUUUUCCUUACAUCUGGGUGUGUGAGAAUUGCAUCUUUCAAGCUUCUCCAAGGGACGCACUUACUAUCCCCUUUUUGCUUAAUUCGUGCGACAACCCACUGCUCACUCAUUCCUGUUACACUCAUCAACUUCUUUGAAAAGGUUGGUACAUUUACCACUCUCGAGUAGACUCUGUCAACUUGAAACUUUGAACAUCAGAGUAAAGCCAUAUAUUCCUCUAUCGUAGGCACCAAAUCAACUUUCCCAAAUGUAAAGUAGCUGUAAGCAGGAUUCCAAAACUGGGCGAGGGCUUGAAACAAAUGCUUGUCUACCUUUACAUCAAGCAAAUAAGGCAGAUCCCCAUAAUUAUUAUAAAAUAACUGUCUAACCUCAUCACUCCACUGACACUAGAUUUCCUUCAAUUCUUGAAAAUUGUUUUGAGUUACACUGAUAUGCGUAAAGUCCCAUAACUCUGAUACAUGCCCGCCAGCCAAACUAUCACCUUUUUCUUGCUACGUUGUUUUAGACCAAAUUCAGACAGCCGUAUUAUCCUCCACUUUAUCAAGAAACCCUCUUUCCAUGAUAAGCCUUCUAUCUAGCAACUGAAUAUAGACUGGCGCCUUUUAUGAUGAAAUGAAAUGCCAUGUCAUGCAAUCAAAAUAAAACACAAAAAGUCAGUAUCACAUAAAAACAUAAGAUAUAAUCAAGAAAUAGUAAAAUUCCUAAUUGGAUAUCUACUAGGGUUUAGUAUAGUUCUACCUAGGGUGGAUUCCUAAGGUUCAUUAUAUGAAGUUCGGCUUCUAGGGUAAAGGUACCCGAACCAGCAGAUUCCUCAAUCCUCACCCAUUAUAGGUUCAUAUGGAUCUAGUUCAGUUCAGGGGAAUACAUUUCCCUAUGACUGCAUGGAGAUGCAAAUCUCACGAAGACGUAGGUACGGAUGUAUCCCGAAAGCGGUCCACUACACGGAGGUAAAAACCUCACGAAGGACUAGUUUCUCGCUCCCACUUAAAGGGUAAAAGUAUCCAGUAUAUGUAAUGUACAAUGCAAAAUAAUUUAAAGUACUUAAAUCAAUUAAGCAUGAAUGCAAGAGGAUUUUUAAAACGAAUUUUAUUUUUUCGACUAUAAGAUAAAAAUUAAUCAAUUUUGUGGCUCGACUCUCUUAUUUAUUUUUUUUAAAAAAGUCCCCAGUGGAGUCGCCAAGCUGUCGAAACCAUUUUUUGAAAAACAAAAAUUUUAGGUUGUCGACUUUUAAAAAAUGAAAAUUGGGAGUCGCCACCAAUCUUUUAUUGAGGUGUGAUUGGAUCACCUAAAAAAACGGCUUUGGUCUACGAGUUUUAGAAAAAUGAAUCCUGGAGUCGGUUACGUAUGAGGAAGGAUUAGCACCCUCGUAACGCCCAAAAUUGGUACCUAGUUAAUUAAUUAAUGUCUCAAUGUCGAAAAUUUGAAAAAUAUAAUCCUUAGCAAAAACUUAAAAAUGUUACGUAUUAAAACCAUUAUCAUUUCAAAGAAAGAAAAUGCCACACCCAAUGCGUUACGGCACAACUAUUUUUUCCUUAAAAAUGAAUUAGGUCAGAAUACUCGUGUAAUAAAAAUUUAAAAGGAAUAUCCAUUUAUUCAAGAUUUAAGAAAUCGCGGCCCAAUACGUUAGGGCACAAUUCCUCCAAAAUCCCAAACUCGAAAUAUUUCCUAUAUUAUUAUAUAGAAAAAAUCCCCAUUUCGAGAAAUCAAUGCGUCACAUCCAAUACGUUAGGACACAACGUGUUGAAUUCCCAAUAAUGAGUUCUUAUUUUUUGAUUAAAGAGAAAUGCUCGAUUGUAGAUUUAGCGAAGAAAAUCAGAACCCAAUACGUUAGGGCUCAAUUUCCUUGAAAAUCCUAAAUACUAGCAUUAUCUCAAUUUGGAAAUUUUUUUAUUAAAAUCGAGUAAAAAAUGAUGUAAUGUUAUAUUGAAUGCAUGUAUAAAUAUCGCAAUAACAAAUAACAAUAAUAAAUACAACAAUUGUAUAAAAAUAAGAUAAACAAAUAAAUAAAAAUAAAAAUAAAAAAAACCAAUGACAUGCAAAGUAUCAAAUAAAUGAGGAAAAUAAAAAAAUGAAAACAUAAAUCAACAAACAAAUAAAUAAACAAAAAAAUAUAAAGAAAAAAAAAGGUGCAUAAUAUAUACAUUGAAAUUAUGAAAGAAAACUAUAAAAUUUAUAUAAAAAAAUAUUUAUAUAUAUAAUACAUUUAUGAGAAUAAAGAAAAAUAUACAGAUAGAAAUUAUAAAAAUAUGGAUAGAAAGUAUAACAUAUAUAUACGUACAUAUAUAUAUAAGGUAAUAAAUAUAUAAAUCAUAAAAAUAAUAAUUACACAUAUAAACUUAAAAAAGAAAAAAAAGAAAAAUUUUUGAAAUUAAUUAAUUCUAAAAAAGGGACUAAUUUUAAACUGUGAUAAAAAAACUAGGGAAAAUUCGUAAAUAAAUAAAGUCUGGAGGACUAAAUUGAACACAUGAAUUACAUAGAGGGGCUGGAAGGGCAGUUUUCCCUUCUCCUCUGAAACGGCGCCGUUCAAAAGGGUUAAAUUGAAAUUCAAAAUAAAUUAAAGGACGAAAUUAAAAAAACAAAAGAACCUAAUUGAAAAUAUAUUAAAAGGCGGAGGGGCCAAAAGUGCAAUUUGCCCCUUCGCAUAAAAACACGCGGACCCUAAAGCGGAUCGGGUCGGAUUCAGGUCGAGUACUCAAAACGACGUCGUUUUGGGCGUCUGAGGGUUCCCCAAAACGAUACCGUUUUGGUACCCUAUAAAAGCCCCUAACCUAAAAAAAAAUUAUUUGAAAACUUAUUUAAAAAAAAACUUAAAAAAAACUCUCCCUCCCCCAGUCCGUCCGGCCAGGGGUCCGGCUUUUGGCCGAUCGUCAGGCCAGUCGUUGGCCACCGUGUCGGCCGCCGAUCUCCGGCGCCGGCACCGCCGUCUGCGGUGGCUGAAAAAGGGAAAAUCCCUUUUUAUCAUUUUUGCACCCCUCUAGGCCCAAAUCUCGGCUAAAAAUUUCCAAAAUCAGCGAAAAAACUAGAAAAACCCCACAAAUCUUUCGGCAUCUAGUCGUCUGUCAUCGGAGACGAUCCUUGGCCUUCCUUUCGGUGUUUCAGAAGCCAAAAGGUAUUUUUCUUCUCUUCUAUUAUUUUUGUUUAUUCGUACGUAAAAUAAAAAAUACAAAAAUAAAUAUAACAAUAAAGAAACAAAUAUCAACCUUUUUUUGAUCGAUUUAUUCUCUGUAUUGUGAAAGUACAAGUCCUUUUUCUAUUUGAUUUUUUUUCGAUCCCCAUUACAGUAUGUUUAAUGGCUUUUUAUAGCCAUUCUCAAAAUAUAUAAAGAAACUAAUCUGCUUAUAUUGAUUUGAUUUGCAAAUCUUCGAUCUUGUUUUCCAUAUACUAUUUAUUUCCUUUUUUGUGCGCAGAUGAAGAUUCGGGGGCUGAGAUUCGGAGGGCGAGGUUAGGUGGCUCCGGCGCAAGACUCAUCAUAGAAACCCUAGGGUUUUUGAUAUUGUGUUGGGCCAUUGUUUUGGGCCUCUGCUUAUUUUGGGUUUUGGGCUACAUAGGUCCGUUGUAAUUUGGGCCCUUUUAAGCCCGGGCGAAAUCUAUUAUUACAACAGGUAUUAGAACAAUUAAAGUUAAGAUGUUUGAUGGAGUUGUCAGAACACUUAGUGACGUACGACAUGUUCCAGAAUUGAAGAGAAAUUUAAUUUCGUUGAGUACUCUUGAUUCAAAAGGGUACAAAUACACAACUGAAAGUGGGGUUUUGAAGAUUUCCAAAGGUUCCCUCGUUGUGAUGAAAGGGUGGAGAAAGACUGCCAAGUUAUAUAUUUUGCAGGGUUCUACUUUUACUGGUGAUGCAGCUGUCGCAUCCUCUUCUUUGUCUGAUGAUGAUAUUACUAAACUUUGGCAUAUACGCCUAGGGCAUAUGAGUGAGAAUGACAUGGUAGAAUUAAGCAAAAGAGGACUUGUUGAUGGGUAAGGAAUUCUCAAACUGAAGUUCUGUGAGCACUAUGUUUUUGGGAAGCAAAAGAGAGUUCGGUUCACCAAAGAAUUUCAUAACACGAAGGGAACGUUAGAGUAUUUUCAUUUUGAUCUGUGGGGGCCAUCCAGAGUGCCUUCGAGAGGUGGAACUAAUUAUAUGCUAACUUUUAUUGAUGAUUUUUCCAGAAAAGUGUGGGCGUUCUUCCUAAAGUAGAAAAACAAUGUGUUUUCCGCUUUUAAGUCUUGGAGAACCAUGAUUGAAAAACAAAUGGGAAAGCAAAUAAAAUACCUCUGCAUAGACAAUGACUUAAAGUUCUGUUCUAACAAGUUUAAUAAAUUGUGCAAGUCAGAAGGGAUCGUAAGACACUUGGCAGUUCGUCAUACUCCACAGCAAAACGACAUUGCAGAACGAAUGAACAGAACGAUCAUGGAGAAGGUUCGAUGUCUGUUGUCAAAUGUCAACUUACCAAAGUCAUUUUGGGUUGAAGCAGCCUCUACUGCAUAUUGUUUAAUCAAUCGAUCUCCAUCUGUUGCAAUUGAGAAAAAGACUCCACAAGAGGUAUGGUCUGGUAAUCCUGCUGACUAUUCUGAUUUAACGAUCUUUGGUUGUCCUACGUAUGACCAUGUUGAUAAUGGAAAAUUUGAACCAGGAUCCAUUAAAUGUGUUUUUCUUGGUUAUAAUGUUGGUGUAAAAGGGUAUAAGUUAUGAUGUCCUGAAAAUAAAAAAGUUGUGAUUAGCAGAGAUGUUGUUUUUGAUGAAAUUGCUAUGCUACCUAACUUAUCUCUUAAAGAUUUUUCCAAUAAAGAAAAUCAAAAGCAAGUGGAGUAUCAGAUUAAUCUAGAAUCUACAACAGAGUCGACUACUGAAGCCAGUAUAAAAAUUCAAAAUAGAGCUGUUUCUUCACCACAAUACUUUAUCGCCAAAAACAGAACUAGAAGAGAAAUUAAACCUCCAAAGAAGUAUGUCGAGGCUGAUCUAGUUGCUUAUUCUUUAAAUGUGGCUAAAGAUAUAGAUGCAAGCCAAGAGCCAUCUAAUUAUUCUGAGGCGGUUAGCUGUGAAGACUCAGAAAAGUGGAUGUUUGCUAUGCAAGAGGAGAUGAAAUCACUACACAAAAAUAAAACAUGGGAUCUUGUGAAACUUCCUAAAGGUAAAAAGGUUGUUCGUUGUAAAUGGGUGUUUAAAAAGAAAGAGGGGACUCCAAGAGUUGAAGAACCUAGAUAUAAAGCAAGGCUUGUUGCAAAGGGUUACAGUUAAAUUCCAAGAGUGGACUUCACAGAUGUGUUCUUCCCAGUUGUGAAGUAUAGUUAGAUUCGAGCUUUUCUUGGUAUUGUGGCCAUACAUGAUUUGGAGCUUAAGCAGUUAAAUGUAAAAACUGCAUUUUUACAUGAAGAACUUGAGGAGGAUAUUUACAUGCAACAACUAGAUGGUUUUACAGUCUUAAAAAAGAGGACUAUGUUUCCUUGCUAAAAAAGUCCCUUUACGGUUUGAAACAGUCGCCAAGACAGUGGUACAAGAGGUUUGAUUAUUUUAUGAAUUCUGAUAAUUUUAAAAGAAGUAGCUUUGACAGUUGUGUUUACUUUAAGAAAAACAGUGAUGGUUCUUUUGUGUAUCUACUCAUUUAUGUUGAUGACAUGCUGAUAGCAGCGAAAGAUAAAGGAGAGAUAAGAAAAGUCAAAGCCAACUAAGUGAAGAAUUUGAGAAGAAAGAUUUGGGACCAACAAAGAAGAUACUUGGUAUGGAGAUUCUCAGAGAUAGAAAAGCAAGUAAAUUAUACCUAAGUCAGAAGGGGUACAUUGAGAAAGUUCUUUACAGAUUCAAUAUGCAGAAUGCUAGGCUUGUUAGUACUCCUUUAACAGCCCAUUUUAAACUUUCAUCGGCUUUGUCUCCACAAUCAGAUGAUGAGGUUGACUACAUGUCACAUGUUCCAUACUCUAGUGCAGUGGGAUCUCUCAUGUAUGUCAUGGUUUGUUCACGUCCAGAUUUAUCAUAUGCAGUCAGUGCAGUUAGCAGAUACAUAGCAAAUCCCGGUAAAGAACAUUCGAAAGCAGUUCAGUGGGUUUUAAGAUACUUACGAGGUACUACCAAUGUUUGGUUAUAGUUUGAAAGAACUAGAGAUGGGGUCAUUGGGUAUGUUGAUGCUGAUUUUGCUGGAGACUUCGAUAGAAGAAGAUCUCUCACAGGUUAUGUCUUUACAAUCGGAGGUUGUGCAAUCAGUUGGAAAGCCACUUUGCAAGCUACAGUCACUUUGUCUACCACUGAAGCUGAGUACAUGGCAAUUACUGAGGCUUGUAAAGAAGCUAUUUGGUUGAAGGGACUCUUUAGUGAACUCAAUGAAGACCUUCAAAUCAAUACAGUAUUUUGUAACAGUCAAAGUGCCAUCUUCUUUACAAAAGAUCAAAUGUUUCAUGAGAGAACAAAACACAUUGAUGUUCAGUAUCAUUUUGUUCGUGAUAUUAUUGCCAGUAGUGAUAUUGUUGUGAGAAAAAUUAGUACUCAUGAAAAUCCUACAAAUAUGAUGACUAAGUCACUUCUUAUAACCAAUUUUGAGCAUUGCUUAGACUUGGUUAGUGUUCAUUGUUGAAGUUAAACCCUUAAGGGGUUUUAUGGAAGAGGUGGAGAACUUGUUCCUUGAGAGUUCGCGAUGAAGAACUUGUUCAUUAAGAAUUCGUGUCAAGGUGGAGAUUGUUAGAAUUAAGUGACCCGAAUCCUUAUUUAAAUCAAAGAUAGUGGUAAAGUAAAAUAAAAGUAAAAUCCCUAUAGAAUUAUACUUCUUUUAUUUUAUUUUUAGAAUAAGAUUUUUUAAACCUUAUUAAACUCCAUCUAUUUGUUAUUAAUUAGAACCAGGUGUUUCAAUCUUACUACACUCCUAUUAGAAUAUGAUUUUAUAAGCUUAUAAAUAGACACAGUCUACUCCUUUUGUAAUCAUUCGAAUUUGACAUAAUGAAUUUUCUUCUCCUCUGCCCGUGGUUUUUUUCCCAAAAGGGUUUUUACGUAAAAUUUGUGUGUUCUUUAUUUUUAUUUCUUUUUUUUGUGAUAUAUUAUCAUUACUGACAUUUUAUUUUUACAUAACACCCCAUACCCUGGUUGCUAGGUCUGAGCUACGGGAUAUCAUAUCCAUUACCGGAGCAACUAUGAUAAAUUACAUACACAAUACAACCAUUUAUACAUGUAAAUAAAUUAUAUUACAUAUUCAUAAUAUGCUACAUAAUCAUUUCUGAGCCUUAGACGAGCUUACGGAAGCUCUUGUACUAACAUAAGGUUGAAUUAGAACCAAAUUAUAAAAAUUGCAAAAUAUUUGGAUAACAUCGCGAUUUCGAGGGGUUCCUCGUUGCGACGUAACUCACUGAUGAUUUCUCAUUGUGACAAUAAAGUUUUGACAUCAGGACGUGACCACUUGUUUUCAAAAGGUCCAAAUGGUACCUAAUCAAAACAUUCAUCCUAAUCAAUUCGUAUCCCAAAUCAACCAAUUCAACAUUCUAACCAUUUCCGUAUGCUAAAUUUCAUCUUGUCGCAUCAAUAACACCUAUACAUAACACAUCCAAUAUAUGACAUUUUCAUCAUGUCAUCCAUCCAACCAUUUCAAUUGGUAAUUCAUCAUAUGUCCCAUUCUAAUUCACUAUCAUUCAUAUAUACAUAAUUCAAGUAACAUAGCUAUUCAAACUUUCAAUUUUACCAUUUAUAACACACAAACUACUCGGUACAAGCCAUACUUUAAAAUGAAAAGAGACUAUACAAACAUUUCUUUGUCGAGGAAUGUUGGCUAGAUGCCGAAUCACGUUUCGGGACUUUGAGAUCCACCUAAUCCUACACACAGAAUAAACAAACCUUAUGCAAAGCAAUAAAUUUUAGUGGUACUUUCAUGAUUCAAGUCACAAAUAAGCAUAUUCACUAUAGGAAUUCAAUCAAUAUAUGCCAAAAUUCAACCAAAUCAAUUUUCAUAUACAACAUUCAAGUAUCAUUCUUUUACUCUGUUUCAAUUGAUGAUCAAACUGAACAUUUUUAAAUCAUGCAAUCUAAUGACAAGGAUGCAAUCAGUUUUAUUUCAAUUUCAUAUAUUUAUGUAUGCAUCAAUAUGACAUUGAAUACCAUUUUCAUCAAAUUUUAUUUAAUCAUUCCCUUUACAUUUAAAUUCUAUUUCUCGAGUCUACUGACUCGUUCAAAUUUGAUUCAGCCCCGAAGGCUUAUUUAAAUCAACUCACAUGGUAUUUCACAUACUAUCAUUUUUCAACAUAUCACAUUUAUAAAAGCAUACUAUUUCAAUCUUAUCCAUCUCAUUUACCAUAUAAUCAAUUUAUAUUUUUUAACUCCAUUAACCAGACAAAGACUUAGAACAACGAUGACUCUGAAACAUGCACAUACUACCACCCCAAGUUUCCUAGCAAUGAUGGUACUCAUAAUCUAAUUAUUUGUCAUCCCGAGUUGCCUGGCAAUGAUGACUAUAUUUGUACAUUCUACCACCCCGGGUUGCAUAGCAAAAGUGGUUUCUUGAUAGGGACUUUCUAGGUCUACAACCUAGGUGCAAGUUACAUUCAAGUAAUAAAAUCUCGGGAGUUCAAGGUCGAUCCACAAGAAAGUUGAUUAAAGCUUACAAGAUUACAAGUAAUAUUCUAGAAAAAAUAUUUAACACUUAACUUUGGAAUGAGUGUUGAAAAUGAAAGUAGGAGCAAGAAACACUAGAAAUAAAAAUAAAACUUAACGAAAGAAAUUAACUAAAAAUAAUAAAAACAAAUACCUAGAAGAAAAUAUGUUGAGGUUAUAGAAUCAACUCUUGGUGUCAUGUUAAGAUUAAAUUUUAGUACGAAAUCCAAUCUAGCCCAAAUUCCCUUUCCCAACUGCUAUUCGAAUCUUGAUCUCUGGAAUCGAAACCAAGACCAACGAGCCCUCGGUCAAGCGAAAGACUUACGACUUUGAAUUGAGGAUCACUAGAAUCCGAAGCUCUUUCAAGUCCUCUGGGCACAAAGGAACUAAACACUACACUAUUCUUUCUAUCUCUUUAGUUCGAAUCGAAUGCUUUGAUGCUCUUAACAGAGAGCACAGUUCAAGCAGAAUCCUAAUCAGACUAUUGCUCGUACCUAGUCACUGCUUAAAAUCUCGACACCGCGAGGUGUGAAGCGAUCUCGUACUAAACGAAACGACUUUCACUUUCCAUAAAAAAGUGAAAGAAAGUAAACCUAUUCCUGCAAUUGCGGUCAGUCUCGCUACCUUUUUAGUUGCCACCCCCUACUUGCUCAUUCGCAAUUACUACCACAAGAAAGUCACCCCUGGCUUAUGCACUUCAUGACUUUCUUAUGUUAUGGGGUCUUGAAGACUGAAUUUUGCUGCCAACCCAAGUAAGCAGGCUGAAAAAACCCUUUCUCCUUUUUUAUUUUAUAAUAAUAAGGUAAGUUUCAUAGCUCCAACCUAUACAAGGCCGCCGCUUACUAAGCGCUGGUUCUAUCCCGACCAAGCAACCAAAGCCAGGACCCUAGGUGGGAAUAGUGAAAGAAAGUGAAGGGGAAGAACCGGGGUAGAGUAAUGGUUAACUCGUCAGGCUCAUAAUCUGUAGAAUUGAGGUUCGAAUCCUGCCCCCGCCUAAUUACGUCAGAUACUUGAUAGAGUCCUGCUCAUGAAUCGGGGUUCUCAAUAGAGGAAAGCAAGACAAUAGAUGGAAAGAAGACCAUUGGAUGACAAUAACUGGAAUGGAACGAGCAAACGAAGGCUGUUGGCGGGGACUAUGGUUUGAGUGGGGUCUGGACGAAGAUCGGGUGAAUGAGAUAAUUCCCUGUUUCAUUUAAAAAACAUCGAGAUUAGCCUGAUUUGGGCAAAAAAGAUUUUUUUUGUGUUUUAAUAUUCGGUCUAUAUAUUUUAAAUAUCAAUUCAAUCAGUUUUUAUCACUUUAUCUAUUUCUCAAUUCGCAAAUCGUAAUUCUUACUGAUUUGUGAGUUAACCGAUUCUUUCUCUCACUCUAGAUCAAUAUGCAAAUUAGUUCUUGAUCUAACUAAUCAAUCUAAUCUGAUUUAAAAAAUCUUAGACAAAAUUUCGUAUUAUGUAUUUGACAUAAUAAAAUGGUACUUUUUAAUCCAUAGUUUAUUCAUUUAUUAUUUCUUGCUUUGACUACUUGUAUUAAUAUAACAAUCUUGAUGGAAAAUAAUAAAAUCUCUUCUUAUUUUGUAUAUAAUAUUUAAAACUAAAACCUUUAGAAAAAGAAAUUUUCUAUGUGGACUGGAUAGCCUAAUAUCGUGACAUGUAUAUAAUUUUAAAAAUUCAUAAUGUACCAUACAAUUUAAUUUGUUUUUUAAUUUGGUAAAAUUUAUAUUAUUUUACAUUUUUUAUUGAAUUGGAUUCUAUAAUUUAUAUUAAGACUAGCUACAAUAAAUAAGAGGUUUUUACAAAAACAAAAUAUAUAUAUUUUUACUCUAAAUAAUUUUACACGAUCAAUUUUAAGUCAUUUAUAUUCAAAAUUAUAUUAAGUUAGUACAAUUAUAUUAAUUAGAUGGAUACAAAUACCAAAUUCAUGGGACACAGUUAUAUUAAAAUUUCAAAUUACUCUAAUAAUAAUUUUGAAUACUCCAAUAAUAACACAUUGGCACUUUUGAAUCAGUAAAACCUUAAAAUUGGGCCUAAGAGUUUUAUAAGUUUUAGGGAUUUUGGCCUUAGAGUGUUCAGAAUUUUGCAACAUGUAUACCGGCAAUGUUUUUGACUAUUGUUUUUAGAAAAUUAAAUCAAUUUUUGAAAAUGAGUUUUAAAUACCUUUAAUUUUGAAAAAAGGACUGAUUUGAAAAAUAGUCAAAACUUAGAGUUUUUAAAAGGCAAUUGGACCAGAUUUUAAAAUCCAACCUAAAAUCCCCCAUUCAUAAUUUUAUUUUCACAUUAGUCUUCGUCUCCUCUCAUACUCAUGCCGUCCAUAGUUCUCCCAACUCUCCCCAUUGAUUAUAAAUUCCAAAUCUUAAUUCCUUUUGAUUUAUAUUAUCUCUUAUAAAUCUCCACAGGAGUUAAGAAAAAUACCUAAAAACACCAAAGUUUUCUCCAUUGUCAAGCUUGUGAGUUUUUUGAGUUUUCGAUCAAACUUUUGGUUUUCCGUCAACUAAGGUAACGAUUCAUCUUACCAUAAGUUUUAAAUGUUAUUUAGUCUUUAAAGCCAAAUUUUUAGCCAUUAAAACGCAUGUUUUUAAUAAAAGCCAAAAAUUAGCUCGUUAAUGGUGGAUUUCAAGAUUUUGAGUAAAAACAUGGUUUCAAAGUGCUUUUCAAUUCGUUUUGACAUGAUUAGAAGGUUUCUAAACUUACUUUGAAGUUUCAUUAAAGAUUUCUAACGUUUUAAUGAUUUUUUGUUAAAAUUGCCACAAACAUGUCAAAAAAGUCGAUACUAUGAACUAAGUAUUUUUAUGUAGUUUAAAGGCUGGGAAUUAGUCGUAGGUGAAUUAUAAGAUGAAUAGAUUUUAGGCAAAAAUAUUGAGUAUAGAUUGAGAUAUUUGAGUUUUAAGUUUGCUAUGUUAACGGUCUUGUUUACAUGAGAACCUAACUUAGGCUUGUGUUUUUGGAUUGUUUAAUGUGAGUCUUUGGUUGAAUGUUGAUUGUGUUGUUGUGUGAAUUACCUUGUUGGAGUGUUGGAAUCAAUAGGACCUUCAACGAGUAGAGAUAAAGGCAAGGAAAAGCUAGUUUGAGCUUUUGGCUUUUCAGCGAAAGCGUAUUGGUGAGUGGUUGGAAUAAUUGCUUGUGGACAUGAUUCAAUGCGUUAUUUGGGAAUUUAGUAGUAACCUAAACCCUUGCUCUAAAUUCCAAGUGUAAGCUUUCUCAUACCUACGUUAUCUUGUGAACUAUGUGAAUAUGUGAAUUGAGAUGAGAUGCUAUAAGAUGUGAUAUGUGGUUAUGAUGAUAACAGUUGUGAAAGUACAAAUGUGUUCAUGAUAUGUAUAUGUUAAAUGUUAGUGACAGUGUUUUGCUAAAGAUGCAAAUAUGCGGUGGUAGUGCACAGAUAAUCGAUAAGUGAUAUGUGUUUGAUUUCAGAUAUUUUGGCCUUGUGAUCUUAAAACCGUUGGAUAUAGUUGGCAUGUCAUAGGAUUGUGAGUACUCACCUAUAUGUACAGUGAUUUUGGGCGUUGAGACCCUAGGACAUGUUGGAGUGAUAAGGGAAUGUGAGCUAAGCUCCAUUCAAUGGGACAUGUGAGGGGAAAUAAGGAGAGUGUUAGUUUUAUGCUUCACUUUUGGGACAUGUUUGUGUAACGCUCCUAACCUCUUUCCGUCACUCGAGUUGGGACACAAAGUAUUAUGAUAACAAUUUAAACAUUUAACAUUACUAUCACAUAAAUAUUCAACCAUAAAUAAAAAUAAUCAAAUUACAAUCCAAUAAUAGCAAACAAACACUUAUGGACCUUAAACCGAGUUUAUGGGGCCCUAAAAAUAGUUUAAGAACAUUCUGGGGUCAAUUCGAAAUAAAAUAGAAAAAUUUUUAAAAAUGAAAAUUUGAAAAAAGGGGACACACUGCCAUCUGUCACAGUCUAGAUCGUGUGGACAUUCAAAGUACAGACACACAGCAAUGUCCCAGCCAGUGUGUCCACCCGUGUGGAUAUUUGAAUUAAGGUCAUACAGGCGUGUGAAACCUGCACCUAAGGACAAUAAGACACACGAUCAUGUGAGUGGAGCAUGUGUGUCACACGGCCAUGUGACAGCUUGUGUCCUAGGUUGUGUGUAGCAUAUCUAACCAUUGAUUCACGCCAUUUCAUACACCAUUCAUUGAGUAGCAAUUCAUACCACAUCUAUAUCCAUUCAUAUGUUCAAAAUCACAUUCAAAUCAUCAAUUACAUGCCAAAAAUUUAUACAUCCUAUACCUACCAAUAUGCUAUUCAAAGGCACCUCAAACAAAGAUUAAUCAUUCAAAUAAUCAACCUAAGAGAACAUAUGACAUCAACCACAUUUUCAUACUCAACCUCCAUCAAAAUAGCCAAAUAUAAUCACUUUCAUCAAGUUGUCAUUAUAACUAACAUUUAGCAAUUCACAUCAACAAUUAUAUACAUCCAAAACAGUCAAACUCAUCAAAACAUACUUAUUUCAUUCGCAAACUAUAUACAAGCAUUUUUUUAAGGCAAUCAUACUCCAGAAGUUUACAUGACAUUCAAUAAAAGUAGCCUUCACUAAGUUCAACUAUAGACCAAAAACCAUUACUCAAAACAUCAUCACCCUAGGUACAUGGCAAGACAUAAAAAGAAAUAUAUCACCAAUGUUGAGUUUGGGAUUGUCGUUGGAUGCCGAGUCGUUAGACAAAAGUAGGUACCUAACUUGCAUACAAUUGAAUGAUCAAAUAUUGAGUAAAUUCACUAAUCAAAGAACUAAAAUUACAAUUAAUGUCCUUAAUUUUAGAAUCUAUAACAUGUAAUAUACAUUUCCAUUUAGUUUACUAUCAAGUUCAACAUGAGCCUUUCAUACAUCUUCCAAGAUAUUUUUCAUAUACCAACCUUUUUCGAUAGAUCGAUUAUACAUUGCCAAUAUGGACCAAUCUAUGGAUGGCACCCGGUGCCUAUCGGUUAAACUGUAACCAAGUUUUACACCCAGCGCUAGUUGGAUAAACCGACGAUAUUAAAUGUGUGCCCAUCACUAGACAGAUUAAUCGACAAAGAUUUGUGCCCAACGCUAGUUGGAUAAACUGAUGAUAUUAAGUGUGUGCCCAGAACUAGUCGGAUUAACGACAAAGAUUUACGCCAAGUGCUAGUUGGAUAAACCGACAAUAUUAAAUGUUUGCCCAGCACUAGUCCGAUUAACCGACAAAGAUUUGUGCCCAGUGCUAGUCGGAUAAACCGACGAUACUAAAUAUGUGUCCAACACUCGUCGGAUUAACCGAAAAAUAUUUGCACCCAGCAUUGGUCAGAUAAACCAACGAUAUUAAAUGUGUUCCCAACACUAGUCGGAUUAACCGACAAAGAUUUAUGCCCAACGCUAGUCAAAUAAACUGACAAUAUUAAAUAUGUGUUAUGUCCUACACUUCGUACACAAGAUCAGAUAAUGUCAAUUCCAUCAUAUCAUAACUAAACUUCUUAAGUUUACCAAUAUUUCUCAUAAAUGUACAACUUAUAAAUGUACACAUAAAUCAUUUAUCCAUAAACAACCAUUUAAAACUAUUUUCUCAAUCAUUCAAUUACUCUUCACUUUCCAUUAUACUUCCAUGGUCUAUUUCAUAUAGAAUUAUCAUUUAUAUAUAUAAUUUCCACAGUUCCUCAUUUCAUAAUUCAACCAUUGCAUCAAUGAUUAUAAUUAAUCAUUUAAUCUAUUCCAUAACUAUACCUAUAACUCCAUAACUCUUCAUCUAACUUUUAGUCAAUUAUAUUUAUAUAGUUGUAAUUAAACAUAAAAAUAAUAAUCAAUGUAAUUUAAGUAAAUAAAUAAAGUUCGAGAUUAAGGACUACGAACUUACUUUGACAAUUACAAUUGUAAAAUCAAAGCCGAUGAUUAAUCCGAUCCUUUAACUUUUUCCUCGAUUUAGGUCUAUUCAGUCCAUUUCUUGAUCUAAAUAAUAAUAUUUUUCUUUCAAUUAAACCAUUCAAAUAACUUAAUAUAAUUAAUACAACCUAUAGCCCUUUUAAUGGUAAAUUUACAAAAUUACCCCUAACAUUUUACCUUUUAUGCAAUUUAAUCCCUAAAUCCAAUAUUUGUAAUUUAACCACCCUUAAUUGAAAUUCAUGAUAUCUGAAUUUCAUCUAAUCUCAUAACAGCCCAUAUCUUUCACCAACUCACACUAUUUCCAUUGAAUUUUACUAUUUAAACAAUUUAAUCCUUAACAUUCAAAAUCACUAAAAUCACUUAACAAAAUACUUAUAUCUAGAUGCUAACUUUAAUAAUUCAUCAACUAUUUUCACAAGCACAUCAAACUCAUUCAUGGCAAGUCCCUAUAUUUUUAACAAAUUUACAAAUUGGCCCCCAGGUUAGCUAGAUUAAGCUAAAACGAUUAUAAAAACAUAAAAAUUACUAAAAACAUGACAAAAUACCAUACCAUGCAUGGAAUUUAAGUUUGGUCGAAAGCUUCCAACCUCUCUAAUGGGGUUUCAUUUUGUUUUUGAGAAAAUAAGAAGAUGAUAGCAAUUUUGGCCUUUUGUUUGUUUUAAUUUCCAUUUAAUUUUUAAUAUACAAUUUUGCCCUUUUAAAAUUAAUCAAAUUUCAUGCAUUUAAUCAUCCAACCAUCCACUAUGAAGUCAUUUGGCACAUUUACCCUUUAAGUCCAUUAGUAUAAUAUUCCAUAACCAAUUGACCCCUUUAUUUAAUAGAAAUCUACUUCUGUAAGUUUUUCAAUUUAGUUCUUUUUACUUAAUUAACUAUUUAAACGUUAAAUUUACUUAACCAAAAUUUAAUACACCUAUAUAAUCAUUUCGUAAAUAUUUAAUAUUAAAUAUUUACGGGCUCGAUAUAUUGAAAUAAGGUUCAGAGACCUCAAUUUCUAAAACCACUUAACUUUAGGGGCAUACCACUUGAACCUAGCUAUUCGUUCAAUUAACAAAAAUCAUUAAAUAAAAAAUUAUUAUAAUACUAUAUUGGACUUUUAAAUAUUAAAUAAUAAUAUUUACAAACUUCUCAUCAGAUUUGUGGCCCCAAAACCACUGGGAAACGGGCUGUUACAGUUUGACUCUAUGAGUCUAUAUGGUGUGUUGGAGAUCUGUGUAUCCGAUGAGUGAUGAUAAAGUUCACUUUUAUGUUUCAUAACUCAAGUGCCAAAUUAUCUUAAAUUAUGAAUAUGUGUUUAUAUGACAUGCAACCAUUAUGCAACUGAUCUAUAAAGAUGUUUUUAAGUAUUGAGAUAUAUGCUUGAAUGUUAUGUGAUCAUUUGAGUAUUCAGAUAUAUGCUUGUAUGUUACGUGAUUACAUGUAUAAUAUGAUAUAUGCUAAAAGUGAAUAUGUUUACCAUGUAAUUGAACUAGUAAAUAAUGCACAAGCAAGUCUAUUAUGACAUUAAAGUUGGAACUGUUGAGGUUUUGUUAUAUGGUUGUUUCGUUAAUGUUUGAUGAAUUGUUUGCAUACUAUUUUUUCUAGGCAUCCAUAGAGCUUGUUAAGCUCACCCACUCCUUCUAAACCUUGCAAAUUAAUAGUGUGCCGGUGUGAGCGGUGUGGUUUCCAAGGGGUGAUCAAAGCUAGUCAAUUUCAGUGAUUUCAUAGGUGUUAUUGUUAUUUGUUUAUGUUUUUGGAAUAAGGCAAUGUGGUAGACUUUUAAUGAUAUUCUUCAAGGUGUUUUGGAAGUUCUAUAGCUUAAUUGCUCUUAGGGUUUUGAGAAUUGAAUCGUAUUAUACCGAUUAUCAUUUGAACUUACUUUCGAUAUUUGAUACUACUAUUACGAUCGUUUUGACGUUUAUUUGAUGAUGAUAUGAUAGCAUGAUGAAUUGGUACAUGUUGGAAUGACUUAUUAUCUCAUGUAUGUUGUAUUUUUCUAGUUUGAAGCAAAGGUAUUGAUAUUCGUGUUGUAAAAAUGAUACCCCUGUUACUUGAAAUGUAUAGGGAGUCGAAUCAUAAUUUGGUAUUGAUAUUCUAUCACGAGUAUCGAUACUCAAGAUAGAAAUAUCGAUACUUUGGCAGAGGUACCGAUAAAUUUUGAGGUUGGGGUUUUUAAGCCAAAAAUAGUAAGUAGUUUUGGUGCCGAUUUUUCAGACGGUAUUGAUAUCACUUGAGAGAAUUAUUGAUACCUUUGUUACAGUAUCGAUAACUAUGUGAUUGUCUUGGAAAUUUUGCUAAGUGGACCUAAUGCAUGUUUAAUUAUUAUUAUAAGUUUACUUAAAGUAUGUUUGGCAUGUUCUAAUGAUGAUUGAUAUAUGCUUGACUAAAAAACUAUAAGAUCACUAAUAAAGAGGAUGAUUUCUUAGUAAUGUGACAAUUUACUAUGAGUAUAACAAGAGACAGUGGUGUGACAUCCUGAUAUUCGGGCUUGGCAACUAGGUCGGGUAUAGAGUGUUACAAAAUCACUAAAUGAAUUUUAUCAGCAUAAUCAAAACUAUAAUUAAUAAAUCAUUGUUUUCACAAUUUUCUCUUAACUUCGAAGGCAAUGGUAAUUUCCAGACAAAAACAGAGGCAAUGGUCCUCGGGACGAUGUAAAUCGAGCUACUAAGAAGGUACGGUUUAAAGAGGACCACUGAAUUGUGGACACAAAAAUGAUGGUUGAACUGAGUUUGAUCCAAACAUUUCCUGGAAGGAUAAAUUGUUGGGGAACAGCUUCGGUAAUAAUAAGAAGGAGACGAUGGCUUCUGGUGGGGGAGGUGAUGACGAUGGCUUCUGGUGAGGGAAGUGAUGACGAUCUUGAGUUUUAGGAAGGAGAUAUCAAUAGAUUUCUUGUUAAUGGAACCUCGGCUAUUGAUUUUUCUAAUAUGAUCCAACGAAUUCUUUUCAAGGAAGUGGAGACUACGAUAAUACUAAAAUUGUUGGGAAGGAAUAUUGGAUAUAUGAAACUGAACAAUCGGAUUAGUAGUAUUUGGAGAUCUUCAAAGUCAUUCCAUCUUAUGGAUAUAGAGAACGUAUAUUUUUUGGCCAAGUUUCAAUGUUCUAAAGACUUCAAAAAAGUCUUAUCACAAGGGCCAUGGUUAAUAUACAAACAAUACCUAACUGUCCAACCCUAGACCAAAGAGUUUAACCCAUCAUAGCCCUACUCGAGUAUGGUAAAGGCAUAGAUUUGUUUGCCAAGACUCCCAAGAUUCUUGUACAAGGGGAAGAUUCCUGAAGAAAUAGGUGACAUUUUAAGGAAGGUUUCUAAAAUGGAUUUUGACACUGAUAGCCGAUCCAGGGGCCAAUUCACUCGAAUGGUCAUUUAUGUAAAGCUGGACAAGCCUCUAGUGUUACAAGUGUUGGUUAACGGUGUGCUCCAAAAAGUGGAAUAUGAGGCUUUACCUACAAUAUGCUUCUCUUACAGGAAGUAUGGCUACACUAAAGAGAUUUACGCAUCAAAGGAGCAGAGUUCAACGAAAAUGAAGGAGCGGAUGGAGUCUGCUUUGGAUAAGGCUGAGGACGGAGAAUAGGGCAUGAGGUAUGAGCCAUGGAUGGUGGUGGAGAAAAAUCGAGUAACUAAUUUUACUAGUAAGGAAGGAUCGGGCUCUAAAUUUGCAACGUUGUCUAGGCUACGAAAUUCAAAAGAAUUUGGGGACAAGAGGGUCAAGGAUAAAAUGAAGAACUGACAGGGAUUACGAAAAAACCUAAGGGGAAAUGGGGGAUUUGAGAUUUAGUGAAGGUUUGCAGGAAAUUUUUAAUUUAUUAAAUGGAGUGGAAUCGACUGAUGGAAAAAAGAAUAUGAUAAAUGGGUGAUUAAUUAGCCAACGAAUAGGGAGACAACCUGUUCUAACAAAAUGGGCCUUGAUGGAUCCGGACGAGCUUGAAGUCUCUUAUAAGGAGACCUAUUUUGGAUGUUGGGCCAAAUAGAUUAACUAAUGGGUUUGUUGGUUCUUUUGUGACACGUCCAGUAAUCAUUAAGGAUGCGUGAGCUAGAGGUCCAACAAUUUAACUGUUUCGAAAGCUGACGUUUCUUUGUCGGGUUCGAUUAUUUUUAAUGAAAAAUCCAAUUCUUUUAAUUCCAUUUCUAUAAUUGUUUCUUGUCUGAACCCCUAGAAUAAUGGAAAUGUGCAAGUGUACACAAUCGCAACAAGUAAUAAAGCGACAAGUAAAUGUCGAGUUAUCGUACCCACGGGAACUAUGUAAAGAAAUAUUUAUGAAAUAAAUAAUUUAACAAGUUGGUGGUGAAAAUUUGAUGAUUUGAAAGGGCUUUAAUUAAAAUUAAGAAUUAAACUAAGUAAAAUAAAAUAAAAAUAACAAUUUCCAGUGCACGAUUUCAAAACAAGUUUUAAUCAAUAUGACAUAAAUGUGAUAGAUCAAUUGCAUUCUUUAACUUAACAUUACCAAUACUAUGUUCAUGUUUCUUACGAAUUUAAUUUACGGCAACUCUGCAAUUUGCUAACUUAUGAACAUACUCACCUACCAAAAUCCAUUUAUCGCUUAACUAUAUCUCUAUGUUAAUUCAAUCGAUUAAACAAAUUUUAAUGAGAAAAUGUGUUAAUGCACAUACAUACUUAUGAAAUUAAAAUAAUUUCUUAUACAUAUCUCUAUGCUAAUUCAAACAAUUAAUUCAAUUUUCAUAAGCAAGUAAAAGAUUAAGUGAGGUAACAAUAUAUCUCUAUAUUGAAACAAUUUAAUCACAAAAUCCUGCAAGUUAUGGAAGGUUAAUGUAUUGUUUAAUAUUGUCGCUAAUUUAACCUUAAGCUACCUUAGAAGAUUAAACAUUCUCCAAUUAAAUAUUGUGUCCAUUAAUUACAAUUUCAAUCCGCUUAAUAAUUAAUUCAAUUGUUACCUUACAAUUUAAAUGCAAGCAUAACAAAAACAUGAUUUUAUUUAAUUGAACAAAUCAACAAGGCCUAUAAAAACACAAACAUGACUGUUAAUAAAUUAAGCAAUAGAACGCAAUCAAUCUAACACGAAUUAAAUUUAAGCCAUUUUAAUUAAAUCAAGAGUAACGAAAUGAUGAGCAUUCAUCAUAACGGAGUCAAGAAAAUAAAAGAGUAGGGAACUAGAAAAAAAUUCAGUGUCUCUCUGAAGUCACUAACACGCUCCUUUUCUUCUUUGCUCGUUCUGUUAAUUCGAGGCCUCUAUGAAUACUUGAGUGCUACUACUCCAAGGUGGAAGAAAUAUCUUUCUCAAGAGGACAAAUCGGCAAAGGAAGGGACAAGAAAGAAAAUGGAAAACAAAGGGAGAAAAUUGAGUAAAUAGAGAAUGUGUUGUGAAUGAAUUGAGUUGAGUUGAGUUGAGUUCUGAAAUGAGUAACAAAGGGAGGUAUUUAUAGGUUGGUUGGCUACUAAUUUUAGCAAAGAAAUAUCAGCCAUUAAAUCCCCCAUGGCUGGCCACCACUCAUGCAUUUGUUGAUGAUUUCAACUUGUUAUAUUUGGCUAGGGGCAAAUCUACAAAAGCAUAAUAAGUGGAGGAGUUUGAAUGCAAUUUCAAGGAGACUUCAAGGGCUGAUUUGCAAGUCAGUAAAUAAGCUGAUUUGAUCUGAUUGGGUCAGCAUUUUGGAUGGGUUUGGGCAACUCGAUUGCUCGUUUGGAUCAAUCUUUCGUAUUAGCACAACUGGGACUCAUUUCCAUAAUAUAUUCAAUAAUAAUUACUUAACCCAAAAUAAAUUGGAAUAAAAUUAAAAUUAAUUGUAUUAUGUACUUUUAUUCAUAAUUUGGAUCGUUUUAGGCUAAAAAAUUAAUUCGCCUCAACGCUUCAGAAAUCGCUUCACGAUUUGAGCUUCUAGUAGUGUCUGUUGAGCCAAUUUUCAUCCUUUGUGCUAAUCUGUCGAAAAUAAAUCAAAAUUUAUGUAAAUUUUAUUAUAAAAUUAAUUAAAAUUUGAUAUGUUAAUAAUUUAAGUACAAUUUAAUUAUAUUAUAUUUUUCAACAACAAUUACUACGAAACUGCAUGAAUUUUAGUUAAAAAUGGCAUAAAAAUGUCUAUAUAUUUUUGUGUUUCCACACCCCCAAACUUAAUUCAUUGCUUGUUCCGAGUAAUGCACAAAUUGAAAAGAAUAUCUUGGAAACACCUUUGAAAAAUUCCUUCAGAAAACAUUUUUCCCAUAAUAUGAAGUUAGUAUACUUAUGCUCAAGAACAAAAAAUUUUGAGAUUUAUGCCACUUAAGUAUACAUAUCAUUCAAAUUAAUCUAAAUUAUUAUUAUGAUAGAAAAAAUAGACUAUAUGCUUUCUCAAUAAAGACAUGUUAAAUCCCUACCAAUUUGAUUUUAUUCCCUUAUUUAAGAUUAAGUUGCAAUCAAUAAGUUUUAUUUAUGCCUUUAUAUGUUGAACAUAGCAAUUUCUCUCCGAUAAUGCAGGUAGCACAGAAACUUAAACCAAUAGGUCUUUUAAAUAGGUUGUAGCAUGGCUAGGCUAGGGGUAGGUAAAAGAUAGAUAAAUUUAGGCUAAAAACCCUAGGUUCAGCUUUCAUCGGACCUUCGGAAUAAUUACCUCCAAUACACCAACUCAUUUUGCUUUUACUAGCUCUUUUGUACAUCUAUUUCUUUCGAGUACAUAUGCUCUUUCUUUUUUAAGCAUUUGGUACUCAUUUUCAACUCCCCCAAACUUAUUUUCAAAGAAUAUUCUAAAUACAUUGAUUCUAGUGUUUGGGAUAAUUUAAAGAUAAUUAUGAGAGAAGAGAUGGCUAAAUAUUGCAAAUGUUCAAAUAAAAUUAGGCCAUAUAAUCUCAAAGUUGGGUUUCAAGGGAUAAAUAUUCAUCAUGGUUGGCUUGAAAGGCUCAAACAGUUCAAACAAAAGUUUGCCUAAAUCAUUUUCAACAUUUCAUGCUUCUUAGGAUUUCGUCUCAAGAAAUUACUAAGUCAAUUCUAGAGACUUAAACGUUCACGAAUGCCUAGCUUUCCUAAGGAACUAAAAUUUGAUGCUAUGAUUUACAUACUUUAUUAAGAGUACAUUUAUGUCAUAAUGUAGCUAACAUAACAAUUAUUGAGAUAAAAGAACUUUAUUCAUAUUGAAGUUUAAUAUACCUAACAAAAUUUCAAAAUUUUGAACAAAAUAUAACUAACCAUAAUUAAAAGAAAAUUUUAUUCUGAGAAGAAAUAAUUUCAAAUUUUCGGUCCCCGUACUUAAGAUGAACAAUGUCCCUAUUGUUAGAAGUGAAUAGACACUAUACACCAGGUAGGAUUCUAUAAAAGAGGAGGUGAGUCAAUUUGACUACUUAAGUACCAAACUCUCUUUAGAUUGAAUCCUAGACAUGUACAUAUAUAUUGCCACACUUCUUAUUUUGUAACUUAUUCAUUUUUAUUUAUGAUUUCCACCUCUUAUUUUAUUAUGUGAGAAAUAAAAAUCCUAAUAGAACCUAAUCCUAAAAACAUUAAAUAUCCUAGGAAAGAAAAUAAUAUAAAGUAAAGAUCCCCCAUUCUUUUUUAUUUGUAGAUCCAUCAGAAUUUGACUCAUCUUUUGCUCUAUCGUUUUUGUUUUUGCAUGAAUCGCUUCGUUCCCUCUUUGAUAUUAGGCUCCAUGGUUCAAAUAUAAAAUCUGGAAACUUGGGCACAAAAAUAAAUGAGUCAUGAAAUAUUUUCGUAAAAGCACUUCUCAUUGAGUCAUCCUAUGUUUUUUAAAAUCUCCAGUCAGCUUGUUGCUGCCACUGCAUAUGUUACAUUAUGUCCAUCAACUUUUACAGCUUAUCACAAGGAUCUGGGCUAGGCGAUUGAGCUCUGAAUGUUGAGGUCACCAUGUCAAGUUCGGUUAUUGGUUCAAUUGAUUCUUCCUUAUUAGGGAUUUCAGCUGACUGCAUUGGUUCGAUCUCUGUGGGAUGUUCUUUUUCUUCUUCGGGAUCCUCGCUCAAUUCAACUCGUUGCUGUAAAAUAGAAUCUCCGCCUAUUUGGCAGAGGUCCCAAUCUGUGAUUGUGCCUUGGCUAUAACUUGUCUUCUUUAUGUUUGUAAGAAUUUUAGCUCUCAAGCACAAAAUUGUUAUCGUAAAGGGAAAGUAUGCUGGGCCAGAACGUCUAGCGGCACAAUUUCAAUUUUCUCUUAGAAUGAUCUUUCCCACAUCAAUGGUCUUUGCCGUUAAAAUCGAGUAUAAAAAGACCAUUUGCUCAAAUGAAAUUGUGGUCUCAUGUGAAAUAGGCAUAAGGUUGAUUCGAAUGAAAUAGAACCAUACCUUCGCUAAUGGUGUUAAAUAUUCUCUACGACAAAUGUGAGAUCCAUGCUUUGACAUAGUCUACUUAGAACUCGGAACUGUAAGUUCCUCGAGAAUUUCUUACAGUUUUUUAGCCUCAAUAUUUCUCAUCAAAGAAGAAUAUUCGUCGUCUUCAAAAUAAGGUAAUUCAAAGAAUUCAUUAAUAGCGUUUGAGCUUAUUGGUACCUUGAUUCCUCAGGUAGAAACUUUCGUUAAUUCACUUGAGGUCAAAUUCACAUGAAAUCUUCAUCUAAGAUUCGCCGAGUCAAUUUUCACCCUUUGUACAAAUUUUUCGAAAAUUAAUCAAAAUUUAUGAAAAAUUUAUUAUAAAAUUAAUUAAAAUUCAAUAUGUUAAUCAUUUAAGCAAAAUUUAAUUAUUUUAUAAUUAUAUUAUAUCUUUUGACAAGAAUUACUACGAAACCACAUGAAUUUGAGUUAAAAAGGGCAUGAAAAAGUCUAUAAAAUUUUGUUUUUCUAACCCCAUAUUUGAAAGGACAAAAAAGAGGGUGGAAAAGUUGAAUGACGCGGUAUUAAAAUUAGGAAAUCAUUUAGCAGUCCAUUUUAAAAAAAAAUUAAUUUUCAAAUGGGGGAAGUUCAGGGCGUAAUGGAGUUCUUAUUUGGAAUGGUGGUAGGUCUUCUGGUUCUAAAUGACGUAUCCCAAGAGUCAAAGGUGGCUAAAUUCGUAAUGGAAGGAGGCUUAAUCAGACUAUUUAAUAUCGUGGGGAGCGUUUUAAAUUAGCAAAUGUUCCCAAGGCUCCCUUAGUUGACUAGAUGAAUUCGAUAGUGGAACUUAUUAGUCCUUAAUUGAACACUGAAGCAAGAAAAAUGGUUGCUAGCCCAGGGAGAAAGCCUUUUGAUAAGCUCAGGAUCUCAAAGUAGUAAAGGUUAGUUUACUCUUUCUAUCUUUAUUUAUCAAUUUUUUCUUCAAACUGUCAGGGUUGUGCAAGUGUUAAAUUUUUGCGGAUUUGUUGUGAGUAAGGAAUAUAAUUCAGAUAUUGUUAGUUUGCUUGAGAUAAGGACUACUGGUGGAAAGGAAGAUAAAAUUAUUGCUAAGCUAGGAUUCCAUAAUUCUCACUGAGUGGAGGCAAUCAAUUUUUUUGGUGGUAUUUGGGUCAGCUGGAAAGAGUCAGUUGAAGUUGACAUUUUAAGCAACCAUCUCAAUUUACCUUUUUAUAGGUUUCUGAAGGUAUAAACUCCCAACCUAUUCUCAUUGCGUUGGUUUACGAAAGUCCUGGUUGAUAGAAAAAGAAUAAUCUCUGGAAGGAUCUUAAAUCGGUAAUCUCGAUGAGCUCUAUUUUAUGGCUUGCAAUUGGUGACUUCAAUGUUAUCCUUUCUCCCAAUGAAAAGUCAGAUGAUCAUUCGGAAAGGAAGAGAUGUUCGCUUUUUUGUAAAUUUAUUGAGGAAGUUGAUUUGUAAGAUCUGAAGUUCAGAGGCCCCUCCUUUACCUGGCAUAGGGGGAGGCAUUUUUGAAAUGUUGGACAAAGUAAUAAAAAAUUCUGCUUGGGGAAAUGCUUUUCCCAAUUUUUCAACCACUCAUCUCUCUAAGUUGAAAUUUGACCACAAACCAUUAUUGCUCUUUCUUAGGCCAAAGAUCAAUAUGUCUAGGGGACAUCUAUUCAGAUUCUUGGCCAAUUGGGUGGAGCAUCCUAGUUUCUCUAAUUUCGUUAGAGAUAAUUGGAAUUUUAAUGGUAAGAUGGUCAAAAAUCUUUUUAAGUUCACCACGAACAUCAAAUAUUGGAAUAAGUUGGUGUAAGGAUACCUAGAUGUUCAUAAAAGACAGUUGACUCAAAAACUUGAAUUCAAAAAGCUCAAGAAAAGUCAUAUUUUGACUAUCUAGCCUAGUUAGAAUCUUAGGUUCAAGAGGAAAAUGAAAAUGUCAUUCAUCAUGAAUAAUUACUGUGGAAGCCAAAGGCUAGGAGAUCAUAAUAUUAAGUUUUUUUAUUCCUUCAUACUGCUUAGAAGGAAGAAUAACUGGAUCAAGAGUCUAAAGAAUGACAACGGAUAUUUUACAUAAGAUGAGGAAGAACUUUAAGAAGAAUCUACUAAGUUUUUUAAAAAAUUGUACGGUGAAAAUCCAGGCCAAAUGCUAGAAUUACCGGAUAAUUCCUUUCUGAAACUGAAUCAUAGUGAUACUCUCUUUUUGGGAAAGAAAUUCUCAAAGGAUGAGGUAAAGGAAGUUUUGUUUGAUAUAGCCCCUUUAAAAGCUCUCAGAAGUGAUGGUUUUCAUGCAAUAUUCUUUCUGAGCCAGUGGGACUUGGUUGGUGAUGUCAUUUGUGAUUAGAUUCAAAAGGUCUUUGCUAGGCACGCCAUUGAUCCCGAGUUAAAUAACUCAUUGAUAUUUCUUAUACCGGAAGUGCCUAAGUUGAAAGCUACGCCCAAUUUAGACUGUUAAGCUUAUGGCCAAUUUUUUUAGAAAUUGGUUAUGAAAGUCAUUUCUAAUGGGUUCAAUAUGGUUUUCCCUAAAAUCAUUGUGCCGAAGUAAACAGGUUUCAUUGCAGGCAGAAACAUUACUGAUAACAUUGUUGUGGCUCAAAAAGUUAUUCAUUCCAUGAGAAGCAAACAAAAAAAUAAUAGGUGGUUGGCUAUUAAGAUAGAUUUGAAAAAUGCCUAUGAUAGGGUAAGAUGGGAUUUUAUCAAUGCAUCUCUUCAAGCAACAGGUAUUCUUGAUUUCCUUUGAAACGUUAUCAUGUCUACCAUCAUGAGUUCCACUAUGCAGAUAAUGUGGAAUGGGGUGCCAACGCAAAAAAUUCGUCUUGCAAAAAGGGUUAAACAAGGAUGUCUUCUAUUGUCGUACCUAUUUAUCUUAUGUAAGGAAUGGCUUGGGCAUUGUAUUAAGUCAAAUAUUAACUCUGGGCAAUGGCAUCCUAUACGUUUUUCGCGAUCGAGUCCGACACUAUCACAUAUGUUUUUUAUAGAUGAUUUGGUCAUUUUUGGUUAAGCUGACAUGCAAUAGGUAAGUUUGAUUAAGAAAAUUUUAGAUAAUUUUUGUGCUUUUUCAGGGUAUCGGAUCAAUGCUUCCAAGAUUAAUAUGGUCUUCUCUAAUGGGGUUGAGAGAGAAUAUGGAAGGAAACUGUGCUAUAUUUUUGGAUUUCAUACGACGCAGAACCUUGGAAGAUAUCUCGGAGUCCCUCUAUUUCAUGAAAGGGUAACAAACAAUUCCCUGAGGUUUAUAGUGGACAAGGUUCGAAGCAAGCUUCAGAGUUGGGAUACAAGGAAAUUAUCUAUUAUGGAUGGAGUUACUCUAGCCCAAUCAGUUCUUUUAUCCAUUCUGAGUUUUUUCACGUUGUCCAUAAUGAUCCCUCAAGGGUUGUGCGAGGAGAUCGAAUGUUUGGUGCAGUAGUUUAUUUGGGGGUCGUUUAGGGGUAACAGGAAGACACCCUUGGUGAAAUGGUAGGAGAUUUGUAAACUGUCAACCAAAGGCUUGUGGUGGAUUGGGGUUUCGAUAACUGAAAGACCAAAAUAAUUCAUUUAUCCUGAAACUGGAUUUCAAUAUAGUUUUUAACACUGAUUAUUUAUGGGUUCGGGUCCUCAGAUCUAAGUAUGCUAUCAAAGGAGGUAUCCUAGAAGACAUAUUUCGUAGCAAGUCUUCCUUCCAUUGGAGGUCUCUUUCUAGAAUAUGGCCUUUGCUUCAGGAUAACUUAUUUUGGUCAGUUGGUAAUAGGGAAAGUAUUAGAUGCUAGAAGGACAAGUGGAUACCGAAAAUUAGUCCUCUGGUUAAUCACAUUCCAUCUCACGCUAAUAUGGACUUAGAUUGUCCCCUUAGUGAGUUGGUGACUGAAGAUAAUUUAGGGAAUAUGGAUUUGUUUCAAAUCUAGCUGUCAAAUGAUGUCAUUAGGCAUAUUGUAAGCAUUCCUCCUCUUCACCCUUUAGUCGGUCUGAAUAUUGUCAUUUGGGUUGGGAUUGCAUCAAAGACUUUCUCUAUUAAGAGUGUUUAGCGAAUGCUUAGAUAAGAGACAUUAAAUUUGAAUGAUAAUGCUUAGAAGGUGGUAUGCAAAUUCCCGGGACCACAAAGGGUUCGUAUGUUUCUUUGGCUUGCCUUUAAAGAGAGGCUACUCACACAGGUAGAAGGAAAAAUGCGAGGUAUAGGGGAUGAUGAGCAUUGCACGGUAUGCGAGAGUGCACCAAAAGAUGCCAUUCAUGCCAUAAUAGAUUGUUUCACUGCGAAAGGAGUGUGGUCUAAGCUCAUGCCAGUGAAAAAACAUGGUGUUUUCUUUUCAGGUAAUGUAACGCCCGAAUUUUGGGCCUAGAAGUAUUGGGCCUUGAGCUUGGAAGCGGAUAGGAGACUGCUCUUAGAUAUUUUAUUUGUGCAAGUCAGUAACACAAAUUGCAUGUUUGGUUGAGUGGCUAAGUGAUUUGAGUGUAUUUGGGAGUGCUUGAGAAGUCUGGGCUCAAGUUUGGCCUUUGGCAAAAUUUUACUUUUUGAGCUCUUAAGGGAACUUGGAUGUUAGCUUACAGGAUUUAUAAUUAUUUGUGGUUGUUUUAUGACACAAAGAGAGGGGAUGGUCUAGUGGCAAGGUGGCAUGUUGUUUUUGGUAAGGGCUGGAGUUCGAGUCUUACUGUAUGCAAAUGGGAUUAUAUAUUUUGCUCAUGAGGAGGCAAGAGUUGGUGUUGGAUUUGAAUCUAUUGUUGGAGCGUUUGAAUUGGUCUUGUAAGUUGGUUGUGGAGGAUAUCAAGGAGGGAUAAGGGGAGAAAAUCAAGGAGAGGGGUGGAGAUUUUCAAGGAGUUUGAAGGCUUGAGUAGUUGUGCCGAAAUAGGUUUCUUGCUCUUGGAAAUUCGACUAGGGGCUUUUGUUAGAUAUAUCCGAAGUGCCGGAGUGGUUUUCUUGGCUGGCUCUUUUGUGUGUUGUCGUUUGGUUUGUCCUUUUCAGCUUUAGUUUUGUUUCUUUUCUCUAAAAGAAACCGAAUACUAUUUCUUCUCUGCUUGAAACUUCCUACUCAUCUCUUCUUUAAUCAUUUUCUGCUAUAGCCGACCCUCUCUUUUACUUUCAUCUCUACUUCUUUUCCAAUUCUGUUUUUCCUUUCUCUAUUGGACCGAAUUCUCAUACCUUCUACAUCUCAAAUCUUUUUGUUUUUCUUGUUUCGGGUCGAAUCUUCCUGACUGACUAUUGCCGAAAUACGUUUGUUUUAUUGGUAAGGGGGUGUUACAACCACUUUAUUAUUUCGUUCUUAGUCAAAUUUCUUUUGGCUCUAUUAUCGGUUUUCCCUUUUCUUUCUCUUAGGUGCCGAAUGUAUGGUUGUUUUCUAACAACUUUUGAUCUGGCGAAUCAUGUUAGGAGGGGGGAUUCGCCCUUAAUCAGCAGUGAGACGCUAGUAUCUGUUAGAUCUAGCAAGGUGGGUGUUUGUGGUUUAGUAAAUAAAGUUUAUGGAUUAAGAGUAUGUGUUAAUCUUGUGUUGCGUUGGUUAUAGGUUUAUUGCUCCAUAUUAUUCGCAGUCUUCAUUGUUGUAAUAAGGUGUGUAUUUGUAUGCGGUAUUCGAUGAUCAGCUGAAAAACCUAAAGUAUGUGUUGUUACACUACUAUGACUGUAGAUCGGCAAAAUGCCAAAAAGUCAGAAAUAUGGCUAUAAUGUCACACGAGCGUGCGAUCGUGCGUGUGGUGAACUGAGCCCACAAACAUGGGUGUUAGUCUGUAGAGGUCAGCACAAGUGCUCUCGUGGUCUUGGGCUGUUCUGGGCCUCAUUGGGCCAAAAUGGGCUGUGUGGGCCCAGUGGGCUUGUGGGCCACACAGAUAAAAUGUAUGUGAUGUGGUAAGUGUUGUUAGACUGUGACGUUUGCAUAGUUGGGGCCGUUAUGGGCCUCGAUGGGUCGAAAUAGGCCGCGUGAACCCGAUGGGCUUGUGGGCCACACGGGUAAAAUCCUCGAUAAGUGAUCAUUGAUAGGUUGGUUUUUGAGGCUCGCGAUGCCGUAUGCGAAUCUGGACUAAAUGGGUCAUACGAGCGUGUAGGCCCACUUGGGACCAAUAGCGAGUUUUAGGCCCAUGUACACUGUUCUGGCCUUGUAGGUUAUCUAAGUCAUUCGAAGGGACGAUAGACCUUUUAGGAGGUCGUAAUAAGUACCGAGACCCCAAUAUUUGUAAAAUGACCAUAAUACCCCUAUAGGGUAAAUGACCAAAAAACUCGCAUAGGGUAAAAUGACCGUAAUGCCCAUGUAAGGUAAAAAUGACAGUAAUGCCCCUAUAGGGUAAAAUGACCAAAAAGCCCCCAUAAGGUAAAAUGACCGUAAUACCCUCGUAGGGUAAAAUGACCGUAAUGCCCCUGUAAGGUAAAAUAACCGUAAUACCCCUGUAGGGUAAAAUGACCGAAAAACCCUCAUAGGGUAAAAUGAUCGUAAUGCCCUUGUAGGGUAAAAUGAUUAAAGUACCACUGUAAAGUAAAAUGACCAUAAUGCCCCUAGAGGGUAAAUGACUAUUUUGCCCCUCGAGUGUAAAUAAUUUAUUUUUCCGUGAUGUAAAUGACUGAUUUCUUUGUGAUUUAAAUGACUGAUUUGUCUGUGAUUAGUAUGACUGAUUUGUCUAUGAUUUGUAUGACUGAUUCUGAGUAUGGCAUUUUGCAUACACGACAUACUGCAUGGGGUUGGGAUACUACCACAAUCACUGUUACUGGUGGCUUGGCCACAUAUACUAUUACGGGCAACUUUGUUGCGCUACUGUUGCUGGCAGCUUUGUUACAAUGCUACUGAUGGCUUUGUGCCGAUCAUAUUACCAUUACUGAUGGCUGUGUGCCGAUCAUAUCACUAUUGUUGAUGGCUUUGUGCCAAUCAUAUUACUGUACUUAUGGCUUGUAGUCAUUCUGUUUAUAGCUUAUAGUUAUCCUGUUUACGGCUCUUAGCCAUUCUGGUUACUGGCAGCUUUGCUGCGUUACUGAUUAGUGUCGCAACCGGUGUUGAGAUUGGUGUGUUGGCUGGGUGGGUCGAUUUUAUCCCUACAUAGUGUGUUGGUUGGUACGAGUGGUGUGUUGGUUGGAUUGGGAUGGGUUGCAUAAUUGCAUUGUUGCAUUUCUAUUACUGAUUCUGUCACUGUCUUGGGCUUAGACCCACAUGUAUUCUGUUUUUAAUUUUGAUACUGUAAUGGGCUAAGGCCCACACUGCACUUUUACUAUUUUGGGCUAAAGCCAUAUUGUUCUGUUACUAAAAAGGGCUCAGGCCCAGAUUGUUACUGCUUAUAUUACUGACUGAAUGAUAGGGGAUUACACACUGAGUUUUUGUAAACUCACCCCAUUUUUAACCUUUCAGGUAAUCCCCAGCGUUAGACAGUUCGGAGCUGUGAGGGACUCGAAGAGGGCCACACAACUGCACAAGUUUUAUUCUGUUUUGCUCAUUUACUAAAGUACUUUGAUUUUGAUUCGGGUUGUAAUAAGGCCUCAAAAAUUUUGGAUUUUAAAUUUGGGAUUUUAUUGAUUAUGAUUCUUAUCUGCUAGAAGGAGAACCCAAUUUUCCAAAAUAAUAACUAUUUUCAAAUACUACGUUUCUGCAACUCAAUUUUUAAAUAACACGUUUUCACAAGUCAUUUGUUUUAAAUUAAUCUUCCGCAACAAUAAGGUUUUGAAGGUAACAACGUUUCUUUAAUAAACCUCGAUUGAAAAUAAGCAAACACAAACUGAGGUUUUGUACAAGUUUUAAAUGGCAAGAAGUUUGAAAUUUCAAGAAGGGUUUAUAAUGAAAACAUGGUUUUCGAAAAACACUUCAAUGUGACACGACAGAUUUGGGCCUAACUUCUAGGCCGGGUUUGGGGUGUUACAAGUAAUCUUCAAGAGUGGUUGGUAUCCUACUUGGGAAAUCGUUACAACUUCUUCUUAAAGGGAGUGGAAUGACAGUGUUUCUUUGGGCUAUUAGUGUGGCGCAGUUGGAAGAACUAUAAUCUUUUUAUUUUUCGAGGCGAUCAAUGAAGUGUUGAUGAAAUAAUUAAAUGAUCGUAUAGCUGGGCCUUAUAAUGUUACUCUUCUCUCAAGGUAUCCCAUCUCAGGAGACAAAGUAUCAAUAUGUUUGUCAAUGAAGAAAGGUCUUGGAUCUGUCUAAAUUCUAAUGGUGUUGUGAAUUUAGAUUUCGAGUUGGUUGUUUUUGGAGGAGUAUUGAAGGAUCGUCAUGGGGGUUGGAUUCUUGGUUUCAACAGGAGUUUGGGUCACUAUUCGGUUUUCAACGCUGAAUUAUGGGGGGUUCUUGAUGGAUUAAGGAUUUUACAGAGUCAAAAUUAUAAUGCAGGCUAUUCAGUAAUCAAUCUUAAAAAUAUCUUCUUUUGUGCUUAUCAGGCGUAUUCAGCUGCACUUGUUGAAUAUCAGUCAAUAAAGCUUGAACAUAUACCUUGUGAAGAAAACUUUGAAGCAGAUCACAUCACUAAGAUGGUUUUUAACAGAAACAAGGGAUUCAUUUAGUCAAGGAUAUCCCUUUAGAUUGGAUUAAAUUAAUGUAAUCUUCCCGUUUAUUUUUUUCACCAAAAAAAUCUAAUAAAUCUAUAAAUAUAUUAAUUAUGUCUUUCAAUAAAAAACAUUAUUCAAAAUUUUGAUCUACAAUUUGUUUUUUUUUUACUACCUACAUCAAAUAUUCAUAUUUGAAAUAUUAUAUGUUAUCUUUGAUUUAUUAUAAUUAAAUAUAUGUUUUUCACUGCUUAGAAUAUCAUUGUGUUUUUUUUUUCUCUUUUUCGCUUUGAUAAAUAUGGUAAUUCCUUAGAAUGAACAUGAUUUUUUGCACCAUUUUUAUGUGUAUCAAAUUUUCUUGAGUGUGAUUUAAUUAAAUCAUUUUAUAUCUUUUCUUUUUGAAAAUCUAUUUAAACGAUGCACCUUUAUAUAUAUAUAUUUAUAUAUAGUAUGUGUAAAUCAUUAGAAAAGUAUGGAUUGUAUAAAAAGAAGAGGUCUGGUUUAAGCCCUCAGAAUAAAGUUUUGAAUGCUUCGUUUAACUUCAACCAAUGAUUUUACUAUUUUUUCCACCAUUUGUGUGCCUUUCUGGUUGGAAUCUUAGUGGAAAUACGACUGUUUUAAUGAAAUUUCAACCAACUCAGCAAAAAAAAAAAUGGAGAAAUAGGAAAUCAAAGAAAAUUGAAUCAAGGAAAUCUCAAAUGAACUUUUUAAUCUCAGAAAAACUGUUUUACAAAGCUAAGCUUAAGCCUAUUUAUGGUAACUAAUAGACUAAGCUAUAACAAUAAUAACGGGCCACAACAAACAACCACUAGCCCAACUACUUAACCGAAAAAGCUACCUACCACAUAACAGCCUUUGACUCACUUCUGAUCUCAUGCACAAAAUAGAGUCACAACAUUCUCCCCACUCAAGUGAAAGAAACAUAGAGGUUUUUUUACUAUAAAUUAGAUUAUAAUUUUGCCCCAUCUAUUAAAAAGAAAAAACAAGUGCCUCUAUCUUAUAUCAAAAAGUAAAUUGAUCUCUUUUUUUAUAAAAAUUUCAUCCAUUUAUAUAAUUAAAAAAUAGCGUGAUUGAUAAAAAAACCAGACAAUAACACGUGGUAUGCUACAUCCAUCUCAUACUAAUGUAUAAGAAAUGUUUUCAACAGUAAAAAUAGACGAAAUUUGUAACAAAAGAACAAGUUCGCUUUUUGAUCUAACAUACAUAGAUUAAUUUGUUCACUUUUUUAAAUAGAAGGAGAAAUGCAAUCCCACAUGUAGUAUAAGGGCCUCUAUGAUACUUUUAGACACUACUUGUGUCGCCUAAGGUGAGCUCCCUUUCAAUAAGUUAGAAGUCAAUACCAAAAUUUUAAAAAUUUCUAAGAGCAUAUCUUUAUAUACUUUAGUAUUCCAAAAUUUCUAAGUAAUACCAAAAUUUGUAAGAAAAAUUAUUAGGAAUUUUGGUAUACCAAAAUUAGGUUACCCAAUAAUAGUCUAAAAUGUCAAAAAAAAAAUUCCAAUAUUUCUAAAGAGCAUAUCAUUAGGUAUUUUGGAAUGUAGACAAAAUUCAAAGGAAGUAUCAAUAAUUUUAUGGAUAGUUUUUAAAUAUUGGGUAUUUAUAAUAAAAAAUUUCGUAUAUAUAAAACAUAUUUUAUAAAAUAAAUCAUGUUGCCUAAGUGCUAGAGGUGCUCAUGGGCCGGGCUGGGCCGGGCCCAGAAAAAAUUUCAGCCCGUAUCAUAGCCCGGGCCCGGCCUGGCCCGAAAUAUGGGCUUGAGAUUUUGUUCAGGCCCUGCCCGGGAAAAAAUCCUAAGCUCGAGCUUGGCCCGGCUAGGCCUAUUUUUUAAUAAAACACUAAAAAUUUAUUUUAAAAAUAAAAAAAUUUUAAAAAAAUUAAAAAAUUAAAAAAAUAUAUAUUUAUUAUAUUCGGGCAGGGCCGAGCCGAGCCCGGGGUCAAAAAAGUGGUGCCCGAAGCCCGGCCCGUUUUCUAAACGGGCCUCAUUUUUUUACCCAAGCCCAUAUUUCGGGCCUAUAUUUUUACCCAAACCCUCCCAUAUUUCAGGCGAACCGUUGGGUCGGGCGGCCCAUGAGCACCUCUACUAAGUGCUCACCAAGAUUUCUGACAAAAUAUUAAAAUAACUAAAAUAAGAGUCUACCAAAUUUUUAAAGAAAUACUAAAAUUUCUAAACUUUUUUUAUUGAAAUAAUAUGAAAAACAAUUAAUUACCUAAAUAAUAUAGAAUGAAAAUUAUUUACUAAAAUAAUAUAUUUACAUAGAGUUAUACCUGAUAAGUUUAUGACUAAGUUCCCCAAGUCAUCGUCUAGAUAUGAGAGUCUCAAUCUCGCGAGAGCAUGCUCCCUUUGCUUUGCCGAUACACCCUCUCUUGGCUAUGGUUAUUAGGUAGAGGUCUUAUGCUUCUCUCUCUAUAUCUCAAGCCUAGAAAGUAUUUGAAGAACUAAGGCAAAGAUUUGAAGAACAAAGGCUAAGUUUUUAUAACUUUGAAUGAAAUUACAAAGCAAUAAAUAAGUUUCUCUCUCUUUCUAACUACCUAAUGAGAGACAUCUGAGUUUCUUAUAUAGAGACUUGGGUGCUUCAUUAAGCCUAUCGACAGUCUGGAUAUAAGUCACGAGAGUCUUCUUUCACAAUAACCAAUAAAGAUGGGUAGGCGCAUGCUUCCUAAAGGCGCUUUUCCCAAAAAUAAAAAAUUAAAACAAAUUCAGAUAAGAUGCUUUUAGCUGAGCAUCUACAACUUUUAUCUCGUGACUCUCUUCACAGUUUUAUAGAGGUCACGUAUUAUUUUAGGGCUCCGUCUCGGUAUUCUUCAUCUUGGGCUUCUAAAGUUUUUGGGAUUUCUGGAAUUUUUCUAUUAUGUUAGCCCGACAUGCUAGAUUGAACCACCAUUGAUCCCACCCUUCAGAGGGCCUUUCAUCAAAUUGAUUUAGCCCACUUAUGUUGGUGGAUAAGUCUUGUUGGAUUUUUGAGAGUUUUUCUAUUAUUUUGUCUUCCUUCGUUAUAGGUUGCUCGGCGGUGGCCUCAGCGUAUGAGAUCAUGUCUUCUUUAUGAUUGGCCUCCUUUUGGAGAUCUUCCAUUCUUUUUAUAAGUUAUAUAUUCCUUACUCGCUCGGUCUUAAGUUGUUUUUCUAGGAGGAGUUUAUGUUCUUUGUGUUUUAUGAUUUGAUCUUAAACUGCUGCCUUUUCUACUGAAGUUUUUAUUUCUAGUUGAGGAUUUUUAUAUAUUUUUGCCCAUUGUGUUGAGUUUCUCUGAAACAUUAUAUUUGUGUCCAAGGUAUAUCUGGGCAUCUUUAUAUGCAGCUGACAAAAAGCUGUAUUUUUUUUAUAUUUUGGGUUUUUCUGAGAUUUUGUAUACUGGAUAAUUUCAGUCCAUUCUUUGUAUAUUCCUUUAUUGUCUCUUGUGAAUAAGACAUAUCAUUUCUCAUUAUUAUGGAUGUUAUGAAAAUAUAGAGAGAGCCUGUUAAGACAGGCUAUUUGGUGUUUAAUAUCUCCCUUUUUAUGAGUUAUGAAUAUAUUAUCGAUUAGUAUUCUUUCUGCGGGUGUUAUGAUCGUAUUCUGUGCCAUGUUGAAUUCUUGACCAGAGCCUUUAUAAUAUGCAAUUCUUGACUAGAGGAUUAACUAGAUUCAUAAUCUAUUAUGACUAGUUAGAUUAUGUCAUCUAUUAAAAGAAGAUAUUUUCUUUUCUAGUUUCAUUUUGUUAUAGUAUUUUACUAUUGUAAUACAAUCAGUUCUUACGGUAAAUUCAUUUUUUCCUAGUAUAAAGAGUUCGAAUGAUUCUAGUGCAUAUCUUAUGGCUAAUAAUUCGGCAUCUAUGCCAGCUAUGUUCUCCUUCUCUUGAUAAGACCCUGAUGAUUAUCUACAUAUUUUUUCCUCCCCUUUAUUAGAUAGCUUAUGUGGCUUUUUAAGUAACAUUGUUCCCCAUCCGAAGGCAGAACCAUCAAUUUCUAUCAUUAAAUAUUCCGAACAUAAGGGUAAUUCUAAUUUAGGUAAGUUUUUAACUAAGUCUUUUACUUUUUUUACUUGUUUUAUGUCGUCAUUAUCGAAUUGCCUUUUUUCCAGUUUUCCUAGUCUUUUGGUAUAUAGGUCCUCGAUAUUUACUUAAGUCUUUUAUAAAUGGCCUUGCCUAAUUUAAUAACCCUCUGAAUUGUUGUAUUUGCUUUAAUUCUCUCUUUUUUUUUUGGAAAUUCUAUUAUUUUUGUAGCUAUGUGGAGUUGUAAUUCUAUUUGACCCUUUCCCAAUAUUACUCCUACUUUCUUUUCCUAACUCAAUUUUCUUUUUGCUUAUUAUUAUACCUCCUUGUUCUAGUAUUUUAAAAUUUUCUUUUAAAUGCCUUUUUAUGUUCUUGUUUUGUCUUACUAAAAACUAAUAUAUCGUCUAUAUACUAAAGUAUAUUCUUGGCAUCUUUCAAAUAUUUUUGAGCCCAAAGGGCAUUACUAUCCAUUCCUAGUGACCUAUUGGGUUUGGGCAUAUGAUUGCAGUCCAAUUUAUAGAUUUUUUAUUCAUUUUUAUUUGGUGGUAUCCGGACUUACAAUCAAAUUUUGGAAAUCAUUUAGCUCCCUGUAUUUUAUUUAGUAAUUGAUCUUUACUAGGAAUAUUAUAGCGAUUAUUGUUGACACUAUUUUUUUGAUGAAACGGGAUCAACUUGGGUUUUGAAAACGAAAACGAAAACGGGAGUCGCCACCAAUCCUUUUUUGAUAAGGUGUGAUCGGAUCACCUUGAAAAGUGGUUGCUUUUAAUAAACGAUUCAAUUUUAUUAAAACAAUAAUUUUGGUCUACAAAAUUCAGAAAAACAGGUUCGGGAGUCGGUUACGUACGAGGAAGGCUUAGCACCCUCGUAACGCCCAAAAUUGGUACCUAAUUGAUUAAUUAGUGUCUUAGUGUCGAAAAUUGAAAAUUUUAAAGAUAUUAAAGUUUAAAAAUGAUAAAAAUAUACAUAUAGAUAAAAGCAAAUAUGAUAAUUUAUAUAUAUAUUUAAAAAUAUAUUAAAAAUAUGUAUGUAUAUGUCUACACAAAUUAGAAAGUACAAAAAUAUAUAAGAACGUACAUAUAUAAAUAUAUACACUUAUAAAAAUUAAAAAAAAUAUGUAUAUAGAUAUAAAUAUAUGUAUACAGUUAUAAAAUAUAUAAAAUAUAAAGGUAGGUAUAAAUAUGUGUAUUUAUAAAAAUUAAAAAUGUAUAUUGAUAUAUACAUUAAAAAUAUGUGUAUGAAUUAUUAAAUAUAGAAAAUACAUAAAAAAAGAAAUAGAUUUUAAAAUAUAAAGAAUAUGUAUAAAUAUGUGUAUAUAUAUUUAUGAAAAUAAAAGAGAAUACAUGUAAGUAAGUAUAUAUAUAUAUAUAAUAUAAGCGUAUAUAUGCAUAUCAAUAUUAGAUAUGUAUAUAUGUGUGUAUAUGUAUAGAAGCAAUUAUAUAAUAAUAAUAUAAUAAGAAACAUGUAUAUAAAAUUUACAUAGUAAGUAUAAACAAAAAUAUGAUGAUGAUGAUGAUGAUGAUGAUAAUAAUAAUAAUAAUAUAAUAAUAAUAAUAAUAAUAAUAAUAAUAAUCAUCAUCAUCAAUAACAUAACAAGAAUAAAAAAAAGACUAAUUUGAAUUUUAAAACCGAGAUUGGGGCACAAUCAGAAAUAAAACAAAAAGAGGGACCAUUCUGAAAACGCGCAUAACAUGGAAGGGCCGAAGGAGAAAUUUCCCCACCCUCAAAACGUAACGCUUUAAUGCGAACUUGAUUAAAACUGAAAUAAAAUGGGAGAUAAAAUUUAAAAGGAAAUAAAAUAUAAAAGACGGACCUGAUCAAAACACGCUUAAAAUGCGGAAGGACCGCGCGCGGAAAUGUCCCAAAAGUCCAAAACGCGCGGAUCCUCACGGUCGAGUCGGGUCAUGCUUGGGUGCCCUAUACGACGUCGUUUUGAGGCCACUGGAGCAGGCCUCAAACGAUGCCGUUUUGCGUCUGUUAUAAAAGUAAACAUUUUUUUAAAGAAAAUCAUUCUUCCAUUCUGUUUUAGCAAAAACAGAAAAAACUCUCAUUCUCCCAACUCUCCUUUACUCUCCAGACGCCGGCCUAGCUCCGGCCAAGGGUACCGGUGGGGUUCCGGCGCCGUCGCCAUCGUCGUGACCCCUUUUCAAUCAUUAUAACCCCGGGUAACCCCGAUCUACCCUAAAAACUGGCUAAAAACCGUCAAGGAUCAAUGGAAGACCGAAAAACUCUUCGGUUUCCUCCCCUUCGGCCACCAACAAGGUAAGACCUCCUUCUCUUUUCUUUUAUUAUUUAAUAUGUAAUCUUAUAUAUAUGUGCUAAAUAAAACAACAAAGAAAAUAAAUAAAUAAAUAAAUCAAGAGACAGAAUGAAGAAGAAGAAGAAGAAAGAAGAACAGCCUUUCUUUAAAUUUUCAAUUUUUUAUUAAUUCAUCCACAUUUUUUUUAAAAAUCCUCCCUUUGAUUACAUUUCAUUAGGCUCUUAUAGCCGUUUACAUAUUUGUUUUCUGUUGUUGUUUGUUUCUACUAUCUUCGCCUUUUUCUUGCUUCUGUUUUUCUCUUUUUUUGCAGGCAAGAUGAAGUCAACGAGAGGAGUCUUUUCCAUUUCGGUGCAAGGCGCAACUGGCGGUUGCAGACCUUGGGCGUUGUGCGCGCCGAAGGUGCACAUGGGCAGUAGCGACAUGAGGAAAAGCAGGGAACCCUAGGGUUCCCUGAUGUUGUUUAAUUUUUGGGCCUAAUUAGGCCGGCUAGGGUUUUAAAAAUUGGGCUUCGGGAUUGGGUUAAAAUUUUGUAAAUGGACUCUUUUUGUUUAUUUUUUGGUUUAUUUGGUUUGGAGGCCUGGGAAAAAUUGGGCUACUACAGCUGCCCCUCUUUGCUCGUUGUCGUGUAAUGAAAACAGAGUAAAGACCAAGAAAGGUCAAUUUUGCCCGGUCUCGCCGAAGACUUCUUGGUGCCUUUCUUCUUUAGAUAGCCUUCUCGUAAUCCGCUGUGUCUUGUUGCUUCGAUCCGCUCUACUGCACUUCAAAGAGAUAUGACUUGUAGCUUCAAUCCACUCUGCUACGACUUUAGGGGGUGAGGUUUGUGGUUUUAGUCUGCUCCACUGCAACGUCAAGGAGAUAAGACUUAUAUUUUUAACCUGCUCCACUGCAACUUCAGGGAGAUAAGGUUGGAUGCGAUCUGCUCUACUGCCACUGCAGAGAGAUAAGAUCUGUGUUUUUAAUCCGCUCCAUUGCAACUUCAGAGAGAUAGGAUUAGUUUCUUCUGUCUGCUCCACUACUACUUAGGGAGAUAAGGCUGGUGCUUUCGAUCUACUCCACUACUGCUUAGGGAGAUAAGAUCUAUAAUCUUCGACCUACUCCGCUGCUGCUCAGGGAGAUAAGGUUGGUGCUUUCAAUCUGCUCCACUACUGCUUAGGGAGAUAAGAUCUACAAUCUUCGACCUACUCCGCUGCUGCUCAGGGAGAUAAGGCUGGUGCUUUCGAUCUGCUCCACUACUGCUUAGGGAGAUAAGAUCUGCAAUCUUCAACCUAUUCCGCUGCUGCUCAGGAGUAUGGACUGGUGGCUUAAAUUUGCUUCCUACUACUUUAGAAAGAUAAGAUUCGCCGUCUUCGGUCUGCUCCACUACUGCUUAGAGAGAUAAGAUCUACCAUCUUCGAUCCGCUCCGCUACUGCUUAGGGAGAUAAGAUCUACAAUCUUCAACCUACUCCACUACUGCUUAGGGAGAUAAGGUUGGUGGCUUAGAUUUGCUGUCUUCGAUUUGCUCCGCUACUGCUUAGGGAGAUAAGAUCUGCAAUCUUCGACCUACUCCACUGCUGCUCAGAGAGAUAGGAUUCAUGGUUUUGAUAUGCUCUGCUACUGCUUAGGGAGAUAAGAUCUACCAUCUUCGAUCUGCUCCGCUACUGCUUAGGGAGAUAAGAUCUACAAUCUUCAACCUACUCUACUACUGCUUAGGGAGAUAAGGCUGGUGGCUUCGAUUUGCUGUCUUCGAUCUGUUCCGCUACUGCUUAGGAAGAUAAGAUCUGCAAUCUUCAACAUAUUCCACUUCUGCUUCAGGAGUAUAGGUAACUUCAUUGAUCUGUUCUCUGGGGAACAUCGCCUGUAAAAUCUAUUUCGUAGACCUAUUUAUGCCUAGUGUUUAAAAUAUUAUGAUCGGAAUGAAUCAAAAUUUCCUAACUAGAUGUAUAUGAAUGAUAUUUGCAUGAAUGCAGAAUGUCAUGAGAACGAUUCGUUUUCAAUGUUUGGGUUAUCAUCCCUUGUUGUUCAUCAAUGUUUUAUUGCCAACAAGUUAGAAUGCUAUCCUACUCGGCUGGUAACACUCAUCUCUUACUUAGCCAGAUUGCCCCCCACUGUAAUCUUCAAAGUUCAAUCUGCUGUACUCUUCAAGGUUCAAUCCACUGUACUCUUCAAGGUUUAGUCCACUGUAAUAAAAUUUGAACUAUCUUCCUCCCACUGGGUAUAAGAUCUGACUCUUUCUUAACCUCUCCCACUGCAAUUCGGGGAUAUAGGAUCUGAAUCUCUUUGGUCUCCUCCACCAUUCCAAGGGUGUCGUACCAAAUGUUUAUGCACAAUUGUAGUACUUUCUCUUCUGGGAAACCUCUUUUUAUCACUCGGUGAUCAUUGCUCGUUUGUUCAUUGAAGCUUUGUCAUCAACAAGACAUUUUGUUGUUUUGUUCAAUCCAUGCUUGGACAACAAACUCUGAAAGGAUAGUCUUAAUUUAGACUUUUCUAUCUUAGACAUUUCAACCUUUAAACUUGGUGUGCUCUAAACAAUAGUCAUGUUUCAGGUUCCUGUAUUAUUUAGAAACUUUUAGAGUAAUAUGCAAAACUCCUUUUGCUUGAAUAUUAACAGCCCAUUAAUCUUUAUUUCAAUGAAAAUGCUUGAAAAAUAUUAUCACAAUAGAUAAGAUGAAAUUUUAUUGAGAGCACAGCUCGAAAUGAAUAAAUUAAUCAAGAUAGAAAAUUUUGCUAAGAUACAAAAAUGAAUAAGAUGAAAACAGGUGCCCCAGAUAUCGCAGCAUGAGCUUCUCCGCACAAACUUCUUGAGGACCCGUUUGAACUUGAUAUGUGUUUAGAAGUCCUAGAAGACUUUGUUGAUGCCCUAAGAUGUAGCAUCUCCCCUUCUUGCUAAUUCAGAAAGGACAAGACUACCGCAUGCCCCACCUUUGAUAAAAAAUUUGAAUUGCCCUUUCCUGGGUUUUCAAUUCAAAACCCUUUUGGUUUUAAGGCGCCCUUUGUGGGUUUUCACCUUGGCUUCUCCUUUUUAUUUUUCUUCUUUUCUUUUCUUCUUUUCUUCUUUUCUUUUUUCUUUUCUUCUUUAUUGUUUGUUUUUUUAACAUUUUUUUAUUGAAUUCGCACUCGUAGGAUCAGGUAAGUUCUUGCUAUCCUUUAUGGUCAAAAUCAACGCUUCUCCAAAUAAAGCCUUCCACAUAGGUCCUUUUCAGUUUGAUAUCCUCUUUCUUCUAAAGUCUUUUUUUUUGUAUGGGGAGGAUUUUCUUUGAUAUUAAGUCCCCUUCAUGGAACUCUCUAGGGAGAACCUUCUUUGGUGAGCUCACGUCUUUUGUUUUUGGUGCAUUUGACCAAGACAGAUAACUUUGAACAUUUCUCUUCAAUCGGGAUCUAACCCAACACUCGGAGAGAAGGAAUCUUGACCUUAAUAAACAAAACUACGAUAAGCCAAUGUGUUGCCCCGACAGCAGUUUUUCUUUAUUUUUUCUUUCUUUUUUUUCUUUGCUCCAAUUGUACCGUGCAUUUUGGGGCAAAAUGUGUUAACCUUGAACAGACUGCAAACUUCUGAUAUCUUGCCCUUGUUCACUUUUAGUGCAUUGCCAGAUAUACUCCUUUUUGGCAUUUCAUACUGACAUGAUUUUUCAAGAAUUCGCAGACUGUUGACUUUGUGACAUUGGUAUAUGAAGCAGCUUCUGCCUACUUAGUGAGGUAAUUGAUGACCAUAAAGAUAAUCGUCAAAAACCUUAGGUGAGAUCGGCCCUAUGACAUUGUGCCCCACAUAGAGAAAUGUCAUGGCUUCCAUUGAUUCUGUAAGGUAGAAUCUUGUUCUCCUGUCUUUAACAAAUCAGGAGAUAAGCUAUAGUCUCAGUUGUCUCCAAAGUCUUGAAGUUUAAUCUGGACACAUAUCUGGCUCAAAAGGAGGUUCUGAGUCAAUAGCAGUGCCAGUCAUAUCAUUGAUAUCUGAAGACCUGUUAUAGGGACAAAAGUAGAUCCAAAUAAUAAAAGAAUCUAAGAAUAUUUAUUUGUAUAGUAUGAUUAUGAAUGAAUUGGAAGCAAUAAAAGAAUAUUUGCUCGAAGUGAGAAAUAAAGAUGCAUUUUAUUGAAAUAAAAAUGUUGGACAUAAGCCUAUCUCACAAAAAGAUUCUUAUUGCCCCUAGGCUUAGAGUAAUAAGCGUGUUUUGGACAUUACUCCGAAUCAGCUCUAAAAAAAAUACAAGGAUCUCUUCCACAGUCCCAUUACUCAAAACACCCCCAAGUAUGUAAGGGUAAAUAUCUAACAAGGUCUUUUUUUCAAUUGUGUCCUCACACAUGGCAUUGAUGUGAACGUCUCUCAACACUUUUUCGUACGUCGCAUUCACCCCCUCAUCAAUAUAAUUGGGUAGUAAAUUUCCUGUUCUGGAGGACUCAUUGAAUUUAACAAUGCCCAUAUUGAGAAUCUCUCCGCUAUCUUCUUGAAUGUGGUGCAGUUUUCUAUUGAGUGCCCCGUGAUUCCACAUAUGCGUCAAAUAGGCUUUGAUAUAACUCUUUUCAUGACAUUGGUAUAGGUGAACUGAGGCAUUUCCACAUCUGUCUUCGUAUAAGACUCUCGUUUUAAAGGGUGCUGAUGGCUAGUCAUUUUUGUCUUUGACUGGCCCACAAUGAUUGCUUUUGAGUAGCCCCUGUUAUACUUACCCGCAUUAUCCCCAUUAUUCCUCUUAUUCUUUGAGGCCUUUAUAGUAUUUGCGUAUUCUACCCUCGCUUGUUUUGGAUCAUCAGAGGUAAAAGGCUUAGCUAGAUUGCUCCUCAGAUUGGAUCCUGAGCCUGUUGAGAAAAUCAUCGGUGUCAAGGUACUGGUCUAGUAUUGUGUUCGUAUGUUAACUGUUUCCCUUUGUGGAUAUCAAUUUGGGGUGCAGCCUGGAGGAUAUGCAGGGUCCUCAUUAUCAUCCCAAAGUAGACCGUUGGGUUUUUCCUUUUUUCUAACCAUUUAUCCAAUAACUGAGUUAACUGACCCAUCAGAUUUCUUUGGACUUCUAGCAUCUGAUCCUUCAUAUCUUUUUGAAAUUUAGUCAAUUACUCUUGCAUCUGUAUUUGGCUUUGCUCUAAUCUCUCCAAAUUUUGGUCCAUUCUUUUAGUUUUUCUCAGAUACCGUAAGGGUGUUAGUUUUUCAGAUUAGCUGAAAUAAUUUUACUCAAUUAAGGUCUUUUAAUGAUCCUUAAUGUAUGUGAUGUCAUGUAAUGCAAAUGCAUGAAAUGAAUGCAAAAAGGACAUUGACUCUAAUUCAAUUCCUUUUAGAAAACUUUACUAAAAAAUAAAUUUCUUUACAUAAAGCGGGUGUAUGUACGGCCUCGCCCUCAUAUUCCAAGAAACAACAUCGAUCUUCUUCUUUAUUUGAAUGUUUAAAAUAAAUCUUGCAAAUUUCCAAUGGAUGCCACUACUAACUCCUUCUUGCUUGAUCCUAGUUGCCACCCAUCGUUUGCCCAUCAUCGUAAUGCUCAUCAGCUUCUUUAAGGAAGCCGGAACGUCGGUGACUCUCAAAUAAUUAGCUUGAAUCUUUGGGCCACGAAGUAAAAUCGUGUACUCUUCCAUCACUUUUCUUUUGUUGUGUUUCUUGGAAUGUGUUCGGGCAACCAUAUUAUCUUCCACUUUAUCAAGAAAUCCAUUUUCCAUGACAAGCUUUCUAAUUUAGUAAUCAAACUUGAAUCAACAUCUUUUUCUAAGAUGAAAAUGCAAUGCAAUCAUAACCAAAACAAAACGAAACAGGUUAGUACAAAGCAAAAGCAAAUAAGAAAAAUAGAGUACCUAUUCGGGUAACCACUUAGGGGUUUGAAGUGGUUCUACCUAGGGUUGGACUCCUAAGAUCCUCUACAUGUGGUUUGGUUCUAAAGUAAGGGUACCCGAACCAACAGAUUCCUCGAUCCUCACCCAUUAUAGGCUCAUACGGACCGAGUUCAGUUCAGGGGAAUACAUUUCCCUAUGGCUGCACGGAGAUGAAAAUCUUACGAAGACAUAGGUACGGAUGUAUCCCGAAAGUGAUCCACUAUCCUGCACGGAGGUGAAAACCUCACGAAGGACUAGUUUCUCACUCCCACUUAAAAGGGUGUAACCAAGCAGUUAUGUAAUGCAAUAUGUAGAAACAUAUCGAAAAUUCAAAACAAUAGAGUAAUUACAAAUCGAAGUAAUGAAUAUCGUAGCAAAACCGAUGGAAUGCAACAAAAUAAUCAUAAAUUUAAACCAAGUUUUCGGGUAACCUCUAGGGAUUCGGUGUAAUUCUACCUAGGGUAGGCUCCUAGGGCUCAUUAUAUGCAGUUCGACUCUAAAGUAAGGGUACCUGAACCGACAGAUUCCUCGAUCCUCACCCAUUAUAGGCUCACACGGACUGAGUUUAGUUUAGGGGAAUACAUUUCCCUAUGGCCAUGCGGAGAUGAUAAUCUCACGAAGACAUAGGUACAGAUGUAUCCCGGAAGCGAUUCACUAUCCCAUGCGAAGGUGAAAACCUCACGAAGGCGUAGUUUCUCACUCCCACUUAAAAGGGUAUGAGCAAGCGGUCAUGCAAUGCAAUGCAAUGUGCAGAAAUAUAUCCAAACUUAAACUAACACAGCGAUUAUAAAUCAUAAUGAUGAAAAUCGUAAUAAAGACGAAUGAAAAUGCAACGAAAGGAUCGUAUAUUUAAACCGAGUUUUCAAUUUUUGACAAAAAGACAAAACAUAAUCAACUCGUGGCUUGAUUCUCUUAUUUUGGGUCUCCAGUGGAGUCGCCAAGCUGUUGACACCACUUUUUUGAUGAAACCGGAUCAACUUGGGUUUUGAAAACGAAAACGAAAACGGGAGUCGCCACCAAUCCUUUUUGAUAAGGUUUGAUCGGAUCACCUUGAAAAGUGGUUGCUUUUAAUAAACGAUUCAAUUUUAUUAAAACAACAAUUUUGGUCUACGAAGUUCAGAAAAACAGGUUCGGGAGUCGGUUACGUACGAGGAAGGGUUAGCACCCUCGUAACGCCCAAAAUUUGUACCUAAUUGAUUAAUUAGUGUCUUAGUGUCGAAAAUUGAAAAUUUUAAAGAGAUUUAAAAUACGAUCCUUUGUUUUAAAAAUUUAUAUAAAACAAAUCACUCGUUAAAACCCUCUCAUUUCAGAAAGAGAAAAUGUCGUACCUAAUGAGUUAGGGCAUGAUAUUUCACUUCCUCAAAAAUAAGCUUGUCCAAAAAACUCGUGCAAUAAAAUUUAAAAGGAUAUUCAAUUGUUUAAGUCAGAUGAAGAAAUCAUAGUCCAAUACGUUAGGGCACAAUUUCUCAAAAUUCUAAACAUUAAAUGUUGCCUUUAUUUAUUUUUUAGAAAAAUUCUCGUCUCGAGAAAACAACGUGUUAUAUCUAAUGCGUUAGGACACAACGUAUUGAAUUCCUGAUAAUGAUGUUUCAUUUAUGUUUUUUUGAUUAAAGAGCAUUCUCGAUUAUUUAGAUUCAACGAAGAAAAAUGGAACCCAAUACGUUAGGGCUCAAUCCUCUCGAAUCUAAACACGAAAUUUUGCUUAUUCAAAAGUUGAAACUUAUGCGUCGAAAUAAAUUAAUCUAAUUCGGAAUAGUAGAAAUGAAACACGAGAUUAAUAUGCGUACAAAGCAAUAUUGAAUGCGAUAGUAAAAAAUAAUACAAGCAACAACAAUAAAAAUGAAUGGAUAAAGAGGACAAAUUAAUAACACAUAGAAUAACGAGUAUAAUAAGCAAGUAAAGUUAAUAUAUAUUAUAUAUAUAAUGAUGAAAACGUAAAUAAAUAAACAAAUAAAGAGAAUGAAUAAAAUUAUAAAAAAUAUAAAAAAGGAUAUAUAUGUGAGUAUACAUAUUAAAGUUUAAAAAUGAUAAAAAUAUACAUAUAGAUACAAGUAAAUAUGAUAAUUUAUAUAUAUAUUUAAAAAUAUAUUAAAAAUAUGUAUGUAUAUGUCUACACAAAUUAGAAAGUACAAAAAUAUAUAAGAACGUACAUAUAUAAAUAUAUACACUUAUAAAAAUUAAAAAAAAAAUAUGUAUAUAGAUAUAAAUAUAUGUAUACAGUUAUAAAAUAUAUAAAAUAUAAAGGUAGGUAUAAAUAUGUGUAUUUAUAAAAAUUAAAAACGUAUAUUGAUAUAUACAUUAAAAAUAUGUGUAUGAAUUAUAAAAUAUAGAAAAUACAUAAAAAAAGAAAUAGAUUUUAAAAUAUAAAGAAUAUGUAUAAAUAUGUGUAUAUAUAUUUAUGAAAAUAAAAGAGAAUAUAUGUAAGUACGUAUAUAUAUAUAAAUUUAAUAUGUGCAUGUAAAUACAUACAUGUAUAUAAAUUAUAAUAUAUAAAAAAUAUAAGCGUAUAUAUGUAUAUCAAUAUUAGAUAUGUAUAUAUGUGUAUAUGUAUAGAAGCAAUUAUAUAAUAAUAAUAAUAUAAUAAGAAACAUAUAUAUAAAAUUUACAUAGUAAGUAUAAACAAAAAUAUGAUGAUAAUAACAACAAUAAUAAUAAUAAUAAUAAUAAUAAUAAUAAUAAUCAUCAAUAACAUAACAAGAAUAAUAAAAAAAGACUAAUUUGAAUUUUAAAACCGAGAUUGGGGCACAAUCAGAAAUAAAACAAAAAGAGGGACCAUUCUGAAAAUGCGCAUAACAUGGAAAGGCCGAAGGAGAAAUUUCCCCACCCUGAAAACGCAACUCUUUAAUGUGGACUUGAUUGAAACAGAAAUAAAAUGGGAGAUAAAAUUUAAAAGGAAAUAAAAUAUAAAAGACGGACCUGAUCGAAACACGCUUAAAAUGCGGAAGAACCGCGCGCGAAAAUGUCCCAAAAGUCCAAAACGCGCGGAUCCUCACGGUCAAGUCGGGUCAUGCUUGGGUGCCCUAUACGGCGUCGUUUUGAAACCACUAGAGCAGGCCUCAAACGACGCCGUUUUGCGUCUGUUAUAAAAGUAAACAUUUUUUUAAAGAAAAUCAUUCUUCCAUUCUGUUUUAGCAAAAACAGAAAAAACUCUCAUUCUCCCAACUCUCCCUUCCUCUCCAGACGCCGGCCUAGCUCCGGCCAAGGGUACCGGUGGGGUUCCGGCGCCGUCGCCAUCGUCGUGACCCCUUUUCAACCGUUUUAACCCCGGGUAACCCCGAUCUACCCUAAAAACUGGCUAAAAACCGUCAAGGAUCAAUAGAAGACCGAAAAACUCUUCGGUUUCCUUCCCUCCGGCCACCAACAAGGUAAGACCUCCUCUUUUCUUUUAUUAUUUAAUAUGUAAUCUUAUAUAUAUGUGCUAAAUAAAACAACAAAGAAAAUAAAUAAAUAAAUAAAUCAAGAGACAGAAUGAAGAAGAAGAAAGAAGAACAACAUUUCUUCAAAUUUUCGAUUUUUUAUUGAUUCAUCCACAUUUUUUUAAAAAAAAAUCCUCCCUUUGAUUACAUUUCAUUAGGCUCUUAUAGCCGUUUACAUAUUUGCUUUUUGCUAUUGUUUGUUUCUGUUAUCUUCGCCUUUUUCUUGCUUCUGUUUUUGUCUGUUUUUUUUGCAGGCAAGAUGAAGUCAACGAGAGGAGUCUUUGCCAUUUCGGUGCAAGGCAUAGCUGGCGGUGGCAGACCUCGGGCGUUGUACGUGUCGAAGGUGCACAUGGGCAGUAGCGGCGAGAGGAAAAGCAGGGAACUCUAGGGUUCCCUGAUGUUGUUUAAUUUUUGGGCCUAAUUGGGCCGGCUAGGGUUUUGAAAAUUGGACUUCGGGAUUGGGUUAAAAUUUUGUAAAUGGACUCUUUUUGUUUAUUUGGUUUGGAGGCCCGGGAAAAAUUGGGCUACUACAAUUAUCAUAAGUGUUAUCAUUCAAUAGUUUGUAGUUUAUCACCGUUCUGGGUUUUUGUCUUACUUGUUCUGAAUGAUUAUUAAAAAAAAAAUGAUGCACACCUAUGUUUUGAUUCGCUUCUUCAUAUUAGUUUCAUAUUUUCUAGUUCAGCUAUUUGUUGUUUAUACCAUUUUAAUUCUUGAUUUGAUGCAAUUGUAGCGUUAGCUCUUAUUUCUUUAUCUUCGUUUAUAAUUUCUAGUUUGUAUUCUAUUUUUGUUUUAUCCCAAUGGGCUAAUGGUUCUUCUCCUAUUAUCCCUAAUUUUUCUAGUCUACUCUGCAUUUGUUCUUCUCCCAUUUCUUUUACAACUAUAGGUAUUCGAGCUAUUGUUUCCAUAUUGUUGGGCUGUAUAUAUAUUUUUUCAAAAAGUGUAUUCUCCCUUUAUCUGUCUAUGGAUUAUCAACAUAUGUUCCUUUAUAUGCUUGGUUUAUGAUUCUAUAAGACUCUUGUAUUUCUCUUCCUAAGGGUCCAGGUAAUUUAUUUAUUAACUUGUUUUGAAAUUCUUUAUUAUAUAUGUUCUGAGAUGUAGCAGUAUAAUGUAUGUAGUCAUUUAGGAAGUACAUUACAUCUAACCAAUCAUCUAAUGGUAAUUGCUCUAAUUUUCUUACAGCUUCUGAUUGCUGGUAUCGGGAUCUCAUUGAUAGUUCUGAUGCAAUUAUUAUGUUACUUACAACAUUUACAAAAUUAUUAGGAUUUGCUCCUAGCUGUAUAAGUUUACUCUAUUCAUUUUCAUUUCUACUUUUAAAAUUAUCCCAAAUACUUUUGGCCAUAUUUCUUUUCAAGGAUUUAUGCAUCUCUUCUGAGGUAUGCUUAAUAUUAUGUUCUAAGUUUUUUUUUAUUGUCAUAUUUUUCCAUUGUUGAAUUUGUUGAAAAAUAAAAGUUGCUGCUAAGUUUUUAUUCUAUAAAGAAAAGGAUUAGUGAUGGAGACAGAUGAGAAAUGAACUGAUUUCAACAUUUUAUUAGUCUCUAAUCAAUGCCUUUAAAUAGGUAAAAUUCCAACAGCUAAUAGCUAGGAAAUAGGAAUCCCAUACAACAAAAUAUUGAAAUUAGAGGAGUAAUUACAGUAAAAUAUUGAUAAAUUAUUAACAGAUUAUUUGCACAAGACAUGAUCUUUUUAACCAACUACUUGAUUCAAUCAAACUCUACACACACACAUACAGCUUUAACAAACUCUCCCUUAAACCAAAAGCUCGCAAAUAUUUGGUUUAAAAGAUUAUAGCUUCAAACUAAUGGAUCUUCCAAAGUGCAGACACCAAACAACCUUAUUAACUUUUGAAAUGAAGCUCUCUUUAAAGGUUUAGUGAAAUUAUUAGCAAUUUGGUAUUUACUCCUACAAUAAAUCAAAUCAAUGACGCCAUUAUUUGUAAGAUCCCUCAAAUAAUGGUACUUCACAUCUAUAUGCUUACUUCGGCCAUGUAAGACUAGAUUCUUGGAAAGUUUGAUUGCUAAAUUAUUGUCACAGAAAAUUAUUGUUGCUCAUUGCUGCAAUAGGUGUAGUUCAUCAAGUAUUUUCCUCAACCAAAUAGCUUGACAGGCACAAGUUGUUGCGGACACAAACUCGGUUUCAGUUGUAGAUAAAAUGACAAUUGGUUGCUUUUUUGAAGACCAUGAAAUAGCCCCUGAGCCCAGGAUAAAUGCUUAACCUGAAGUAAUCUUUCUAUCAUCUUGAUCACCAGCAUAAUCAUUGUCUGUAAAGCCAAACAAAUCUGAUUUUCACCCUUUUUGUAGAACAGACCAUAACUAGCAGUACCUUUCAAAUACCGAAGUAUUCUUUUUGCAGUUAAAAGAUGAAUUUCCUUUGGGCACUCCAUGAACCUGCUAAUAAGACUUACAGCAUGCAUAAUGUCUGGUCUUGCUACAGUUAAAUACAUCAAGCUUCCUACCAUUUGCUUGUAGAUGGUGCUAUCAACCUUCCUCCUUUCAAGAUCUCGAAUAAGUUUCAUGCCCACUUUAAUAGGUGUGCAAACGAAGUUGCAAUUCUUCAUUUGAAACCUAUCCAAAAUUUCUUGCACAUAUUUCUUUUGAGAAAUAAAAAUUCCAGCAGUAGAUUGUACCACUUCAAAGCCCCAAAAAAAUGAAGCAUGCCAAGAUUAUUCAUAUCAAAUUCAAUCAUCAUAGGCUUCUUGAAUUUGUUAAACAUGACAACAUCACUCCCAAAAAAAAUAAGAUAAUCAACAUAUAAUCAAACAAUAAUAAUUUUACCUCCAUCACAAACCUUGGCAAAAAGUGUAUGCUCAUAUGAACACUUUAGAAAGCCUUCUUUUAGAAAGAAAGCUUCGAUGCGACUAUACCAAGCCCUUGGGACUUGCUUCAACCCGUACAAAGCCUUCUUUAACCUAUACACCUUGUGCUCAUUUCCAUGCUUUACAUAUUCAGGAGGUUGCUCAAAAUAUACUUGUUCUUUCAAAUCACCAUGUAAAAACGCCAAUUUCACAUCUAAUUGGAAAAUAGGCCAUGAAUUUUGAGUUGCAAGAGGCAAUCACCAGCCUGAUUGUAUCAUGACGAGCAACAAGGGCAAACACUUCAUUGUAACCAACACCAAAUUCUUGCUUAUAGCUUUUAGCUACUAAGUGCGCUUUGAAUUUGUCAACCUCGCCAUUUUCUUUUAGUUUUGUCUUGUAAACCCACUUCACACCAAUUGUUUUGUGCCUUUUGAGAAGAUCAGUCAACUCCCAAGUGUUGUUGCAUUCAAUGGUUACCAUUUCUUUAUUCAUUGUUUUUUCUCCGUUUGGACUCUUUUACGGCUUCUUUAAAUGUUACUGGAUCACAAUCUGAAAAUAAAGUAAAAUGUGCAACUUCCUCUUUAUUAAUUUCCUCUACCACAAAAUUCUCCAUCUAUGCAGGUCUCCUCUUGUUACGUUGAGGACGCACAUUUGCUGGUUCAGCGGCUUGUUGCUCACUUUGCACUUGCACUAUUGGCUGCUGCCUUCCAUCUUCCUUAUCACCAUCAAAAUCAGCUUGUAUUUGUUGUUCAGUUUUGUCUGUGUCCCAAUUCCAAAACUGAUCCGCAACGAACACCACAUUACGACUGAUAACAAUCUUCUUAGUGAUAGGACUGUACAAUUUAUACACUUUUGAUUUCUCACUAACACCAAGAAAAAUGCAUUUUUCUCCUUUGUUAUCAAGCUUUUUCCUCUUUUAAUAUGGAACAUGGGCAUAGGCAACACACCUAAAUAUUCUAAAAUAAUCUACAGUCAAUCUUUGAUCACUCCAAGCUUCUUGUAGUGUGAUAUUUUGAAUAGCUACGGUUGGGCUUCUAUUCAAGAUAUGGAUGUUCCAAUUGACUGCUUGUUAAAAGGCUUCAGGCCAUGUUCAAAAUUGUACGAUUCUUCCUUUCACAGAUGUCAUUUUGUUGAGGUGUGUAUGUUGCUGUUUGUUGCUUCUUAAUUCCUUUCUUAGCACAAAAAAUAACAAAUUCUUCUUAAUUGUAUUCUCCACCACGAUCACUAUGCAGUACUUUGAUUGGAGUCCCUGCCUCGUUUCCAACUAGAGCUUUGAAACUCUUAAAGACUGUGAGAGCUUCAAAUUUUUCAUGCCAAUAAUAAACCCAAUUUUUUCUACUAAAAUCAUCAAUGAACGAUAUAAAAUAUCAUUUACCUCCAUUUGACGUAGGAGUGAUCGAUCCCAUAAGUCUGAAUGCACAAGCUCCAACGCCUUCCUUGCUCUCCAUGAAUUUCCUUUUUGAAAUGGUUCUUGAUGUUGUUUACUGAUGACACAUUCUUCACGUACUUGAGAAGGAGUUCGUAUGUGUGGGAGGCUUGUCACCAUAUUCUUUUGCUGUAAUAUUUUUAAACCUCUAAAAUUUAAAUGCCCAUAUCGAAAGUGCCAAAGCCAACUUUCAUCUUCCAACUUUGCAGAGAAGUAUGAGUUGGUAACGAUGUAGAGGUACAAUGGAAACAUUCUGUUAGGUGUCAUAUCAACUUGGGCAAUUAAUCUCAAUUAUUCAUCUUGUAUUUUGCAAACUCCAUCUUUAAUGGAAAUAUCAUAUCCCUUUUCUUAUAAUUGGCCAAUGCUCAACAAAUUUGUUUUCAAAUCCAGAACAAAGAGGACAUUAAAUAUAGUAUGAACAACAUUGAUUUUCGUUUGAAUUAUUACCUCUCCCUUCCCAUUUACAGAGACUUUUGAAUCAUCACCAAACUUCAUGUUGUCACGAAUAGACUCAUCUAACAUCGAAAACGCAGACUUGUCACCACUCAUAUGAUUGCUGCAGCCUGUGUCCAAGUGCCAUAAAUUCUUUUACGUUUAUUUUUUGACAUGACAAGCCAUCAGCAAAGACACUUCUUCAUUUUCUGCAAAGUUAUUUCUGUCUUCAUUUUUAUUAUUCAAAUUAACUUGACAUUCUGAUUGAUAAUGGCCAUACUUCUACCUUUGCCUGUACCUUUCCAUCUACCACGGCCCCCUCUAGUUGUGAGAUGAUUAUCUAUAGAAGCCUUCAAUGCAUGCUCCUCCCUCUCUUGCUGGAAAAUUUUUUGCUCAUGUAUCAAGAAAGAACUAUGCAGCUCAUCAAUUGAAAAUUGCUCGAUGACAUGAGCUUCCUCAAAGGAACAAACUACAAAAUUAAAUUUUGUAGUCAUGGAGCGAAGUAUUUUCUCAAUCACAGCAACAUCAUCAGUUUUGCCACCAUAAAUUCGUAUUUUGUUGACAAUGGCCAUUGUACAUGAAAAAUAAUCGGUUACCGACUCACCCAAUUUCAUUCGUAGUGUUUCAAACUCCGAACGAAGUGCUUGAAGCUGCUGUCUCUUUGCCCUCGCAGAACCCUAAUGUUAUUUCUUCAUGAAAUCCUAAAUAUGCUUGGACGUGUCUUUGCAAAGGAUGGUUUCCAAGAUUGAACGGUCAAUUGCUUGGAAAAGACAAUUUUUUACUUUUAAAUCUUUCAAGUGUAGCCGUUCUAUUUCCUUCUUCUAAGCCUCUGUCACUGCUAUGUCAUUUGUUGGUUCCUCAAUUCCCUCAGAAAUAACCUGCCAAUACUCAUUGGACCUCAAGAAGUUCUCCAUCAACAUAAUCCAAUGAUUGUAGUGUCUAUCAAAGUGGGGAAUGGAUGGUUGAACAAAGUUGUCAGUGGCCAUCACUUUGCUUGGUGUUGCCGCUGCUACUAAAAAAAGCUAAGGCUUAAACCUGGCUUUGAUACCAAUGUUGAAAAAUAAAAGUUGCUGCUAAGUUUUUAUUCUAUAAAGAAAAGGAUUAGCAAUAGAGACAGAUAAGAAAUGAACUGAUUUCAACAUUUUAUUAGUCAUUAAACAAUGCCUUUAAAUAGGCAAAAUUCCAACAACUAAUAGCUAGGAAAUGGGAAUCCCACUACAACAGAAUAUCGAAAUUAGAUGAGUAAUAACAGUAAAAUAUUGAUAAUUUAUUAACAGAUUAUUGGCACAAGACAUUAUCUUUUUAACCAACUACUUGACUCAAUCAAACUCCACACACACACGUACAGCUUUAACAGAAUUAAUUUGGGCCAUAGCUAUAGACUAUAUUUUCCAAGGUUUAGUAGCAAAUCUUCUUCAAAAAACAUCCAAAGGUUGUAUUUGGCCUUUAUUUUUUGUAUGGGUAUUUAGGCUCCCUAUAGUCUGAAUAAGGUCUUACUGGUAUACGACCGUAAUUAUAUAUAGUUGUAGAGGGCUCAUUCUUGGGGGGUUUAAUGGGGUAUUAUUACUAGUAUUUGGUAUGUCCGUUUCCAUGGGCAUUAUUGUCGUGUCCAUUAAUUUUUUUGGGUUUCUUUCUAGAAACUCUACUAUAUCAUUUUCUACAAGAUUGUUAGUUUUUCUAGAUUCUCUUCUAAUAGAUACAUGUUCUAAUAUUUCUUCGUGUCUUACUCUAAAUAUUUCUAUGACUUUAACAUGUCUUUUUCUUAAUACUGCUCUUUUUAUAUAUUGUAUCAUUUCUUUUUCGUUGAGUGAUAUGAAAUAUUCUAAUCUUUUUUCAUACUCUCUAUAAGAUUUAAAAAACUCUUUAUGAAUAUAGAAUUCUUCAUUUCUUAUAUUUUCUUCAUCUUGUUCAUCAUUUAUUAGCUUAUUAUCUAUUUCGAAGUCUGAAUUUAUACUUUUAGUAGAAGCGGGGCAUUCUGUCAAUAUCAAAUGUCUAUGGUUGUAGUCUGCAAAUCUUAUACUUAUAUUUCCUAUUAAUCCUUGAAAUACUUCUCCUUUUUGGGGGGUUAGUUUUGGUCUUUGUUCUUCAAAUAAUUUAUUUAAGUUCCAAUUUUUUUCUUGGUAGAAGCUCGGUUGAAAAUUUUGGGCUUCUAUGACGUCUUUUAUUUCACAUUUAUAAUUAAUAUUGAUAUUUUGAGUGGCUUUUCCAAUAAAUCCAAGAGUUAUCACUAGGUUUUCUCUAUUAAUUAACCUCUAUCCUGAAGAUGUUAUUCCUAAUUAUAUGUUAUGAAUAUCUUUUAUUCUGAGGAAGAAUUCUGGGACGCAUUUAAAGAGUCCCAUAUUGUUAUUCAUGUCUACUUCCAUAAAGCUGAUAAUCUUUUUCUGUUUAUCUUCUAUUGAGUCAUCAAAUAUAGGCAUUAUUACAUGGGCUCCUAAGUCUGCUUGUGCCAUUUAUUACAAAACCUGACACCAAAUCACCAUUUCAAAUUACAAUUUAAAAUUUUUUUUAUUGACAUAAUAUGGAAAAAAGAAGUAAUUUAACUCACAUUUUUUAAUGAAAAUUUUCUAUCAAGCUAUUGGAUAACCUCAAAGAUAGAGCUUUCUAUAACAAGAAUAUCAUCUACGUACAUCACCAAGUAAGUCAAAGACCUCUUAGUUUUCUUGAAAAACAAUGACGAGUCAGCCUUUGAAUCCCGAAAAUCAAGUUGUAUCAAAAGCUCUCUUAGAAAAACUAAUUUCACAAUACUUGUUUGUUGUAUGAAAUCCCCCUUUUCCAACUCUCCUUUUAAUAGAGAUGAAAAUGUAUAUGCUGGCAAGUAAUUAGAAUGAAUUAUUGUGUUGUACAUUUUUAUUUGUGGCUGGUGUGGCUUUGUUCUAUCAUUUUUUUGGAGUCAGAAAUGGUGAGUAUUUGGUAUAGUGAUAGUGUAUUUUUUAGGAUAAAUUACACCAAUAGUCACUCAACUUUGAUGCAGUUGACAAAAUAGUCACUUAGGUUUCAAUUUAGUCACUCAACUUUCAAAGAAUGAAAAAAAAUACUCUUUUUAACCAUUUUCCAUUAUAGACGUAACGAAAAAGUGACAUGGUAAUUGACAGAUUCCUUAUUGUCAUUAAUCGGCUAGCUAGACGUUAAGCACCAAUUUGAACAACCCCUUUUAGCAUCAGUUUAGGGUUUAGGCAAUAAAAGAAAAAGAGAAAAAAAUGAAAAAUUGCACCAGUUUGGGGACUUGAGUAAUACUAAUAAUCCAUUAGAAUUUUUGGAUUUGGCAUUAUAAUGACUGAGCUCCUUCUUGCAAAGUUCCUUUGGCUUCCUUGACUAGGAAAGCCCCUUUCCACCAGCUACUUUAUUUCAAGCUUGGAUUUUGCUUCACCUAUAUCAAUAGAUGCAAACUUGAGCAGAAUGGAGUUAAAAAUUUGGGUUUGUAGGGAUUGGAUUAAGACCCUGGGUGACUCCAACUCAACUGAAACAGUAAAGACACUGCAGCAAGGAUCAGUAAUCCGACAAUUUAAGGUUGCAGUCAAUGCAACAAGCAUUAGAAUGCUUAUCAAGGGUCUGACUGACCUCUUCAUGAGAGUAAUCACAUUAGAGGGACAAUAAAUGGGGUUUGCUAGGUAUGGCCAAAAUAAGAAAAAAAAAGUACAGAUCUUGAAUAAAUCUAUAUUGGGUUCAGACCCAUCUUCAAGUUCAAUAGAUUUUGACAUCCCAAAUAGAGAAGAGGGGUUUAAGCACAAAAAAGAUUCCAUUUCAGUAUUGGGUUUUACAAGAAAUGAAGAAAAAAUACCGAAUCUUCCUUAUUAAAGGACAAAUCAUUUCUUAUUUUUGAAUAAAACUUAGAAACAAAAAGAGGAAUAAAAUGAAAUCUUGAAGUGGGAAAUCUCACAAUAAAGUGAAAUGCAAAUUGCAGAUGAAAAAUACCAAUCGAUUUCUAACCCUUACCCCUAUUAAUCGAUUUUUGAAUCAAUUUUUUAACCCUCAACCAACCUUGAACCCUAAAAUUGAUUUCUAACCCAACACCCUGGUUACUUAUGUAUUGUUAUUGACCAAAAUUAGGCACAAAAGGCUUUUUUGUUUUUUGGUGAUUUAGUAUUUCAAGAAGAAGUUUCUCUAUGGGAAAAAGUUUAGCCUUGGAAAAAUUAGUGAAGUAUAUAUUUGGCUGUGCAAGUGUUGAGGGAUCAAGUGUUGGGGGAGGUUGAAAUUUAUCCACAAUAGCAGCAACUAAGGGAAGAAGAAGAAGAAUAUGGGGAAAAAAGCCUUAACGAUUUUAUAGUCUCUUCUUUUUUUCUUCUUAUUCUUCUUCUGUUAUUAAGGUUUUUUUUUCAAUUUCUUCUUAAAUUAGGUGAGUUUCCACCGUGGACAUAUCCAACAUGGCUAGUUAAUUGGCCACGUCAGCUAGUUAAUUGGCCACGUCACCUGUCCCGUUAGGUCUGUAACGGGAAAUGUUAGUAGGUGACUGAUUUGUAACUUUUCGAUAACGUUAGUGAUUGAUUUGUCAUUUUCGAAAGUUGAGUGACUGGAUUGAAAACUGAGUGACUAUUUUUUCAGUUACAUCAAAGUUGAGUGACUGUUGGUGUAAUUUACCCUUUUUUUAUUCCAUAUAUAAUCUUAAAAAAUUGUCAUUUUUCUCUUUUUCCUUUUUAAAUAUUUAAUAUUUUAUUAUAUUCUUGUAGGACACUUGUCAACUCCCUAAAUCUCUUUGUAAAGUCUAAAAACUCCACUGAUAAUGUAUCAAAUAUUUUCUCAUAAAUAAAACACUUCUUACCUUUAAAAUGAAGAAAAAGAAAAAUGCUAGGUGGUUGUAAGUAGGGGUAAGCAUUCGAUCGAAUCGAAUCGAAAAUUUUUGAGUUAAUCGAGUUUUCGAAUCUCAUUUUAUCAUCCUAACUUUAUUUAAAGUUUUCUCGAAUCGAGUCGAGUGAGAUGGAAUUCGAAUUGAAUCGAAUCGAAUAUAUUUGUUCGAGUUAAAUUUUAAAAAAUAAUUUUGGGUCCUUGUAACCAUUGUCACCCAUCGUAAUAAAAUUUGUCCAGCUUAAUCAAAUUUUUUAUUAACUUUCAUCACUUCAUAAUUUAUUUAUUAAUUUUUUAUAUACUGGUUAGCUUCUUUGCUUGCUUAGUUGUUUUAAUUAUCUUCAGAUUCUUGUCACUAUGUAUUUUAAAAUUAAAAAAUAUAUUAAAUGUAAAAAUAUGAAUUUUUAAUAAAAGUUAUUUUAAAAAUAAAAUGUGAAAUUGAUACCAAUAUAAAAUUUUAACACGAAUAUUUUAUGGCAUAAUUAAUAAUUCAAUUUUAAUAUAAAUAUUCAAUAUGACUAAACAAUUCAAUAAUAUAAAUAAUAUAGAAUGUGAAAUUUUAAUAAUAUAAAUAGUAUAUAUAAAUAAAAUUAUUACUAUUUAUGUUUAGUGAUUUUUUUUGGAUAAUUUUGAUUUUUUAUUUGAGAGUAAAGGGUGAGAACUAAAAGUUUAGGGGAAGAAUAAAAAAUUUUGGAGGGAAAAUAUUAAAAAAAAUUGGAGCGGGGAGGGUUUGGGAUAGAUGGGAGGUGGGAUGGGAAGGGAAUAAAAGUUUUAGGGGAAAAGUGGGAGGGAGUAAAAAUUUUGGGGGAAAAUAAAAUGUUUUGAGGGUUUUGGGGAGUAAAAUUUUGAGAAAAAAUAAACGGGAGAAUAAAAUUUUGGUGGGAAAUGGAUUUUGGGUAGAUUGGGGGGUUGCGAGGGGAGGGGAGUAAAAGUUUUGGGGGGAAAGUGGGAAGGAGUAAAAGUUUUGAGGGAAAAGUAAAAAGGUUUGGGAAUUUGUGGUAAAAAUUUAAAAUAUUAUAGUUUGAUAUUCGAAUUAUUCGAAUUAUUCGAGUUAUUCGAAUUCAAAAACUCAACUCGAUUCGAACUCGAAAUUCGAAAAAAAAUUCGAGUUGAUUCGAAUAACUCGAUUAACUCGAAUAAUUCGAUUCGUUUAACUCGAAAUUCAAAUUUUUUUUUCGAUUUUUUCGAGUAGAAUCGAGUUUAGUUUUCAUCAUAGCUCCAACUUUUUUUUUUUACGUUUUCAAGUUUUGUUUUGUUGGUAGAUUGCAUGAGAUUUACUUUCAAAGCAAUUUGAAGAAUCCAUUGUUCUUUUCAAGCAAUUAAAUGUUCAUAGAAAUCUUCUGUUUAUGUUUAUUUGGUGUCUUAAGAUAUGCAUUUAGAAUACUCACAAAAAUUUAUUAUUAUUAUUAUUAUUAUUAUUAUUUAUUUUUUUAUUUUUUAAAAAAGAAAUCUUUUGCAUUGCCAAUAUUUUAAGAAUUUUUUUAAUUUUCUUUUAAAGAGCUUUUUCUCUAACUUUUGGAAUUAUAUUUUUCUUAAUUUUGAUUUUUUAAGUUAUUUGUUGACAUAAUAUAUAAGGCAAAGUAGUUUCAUAUUAGCAACAAAAAGUUAAGGCCAAUUUGUUUCAGAGGCCAAAUUAAAUAAAUGUGUAAAUAUUAAAAGUUAAAUUUAUUAUUAUUUCUUAUAUACAAAAAGUAAAAAUAAGCGCUUAACAUCUCGAUUUUAAUGGAAUAACUAUUUUAUUGCUUCAUCUAACCUACAUAGAUCAAUUUAGACAAUUUUUUCCAAGCAAUUGACAUAUAAUCUGAAAUAUAAUAAAAAAUACUAUAAUUCUUUCACGUUAUUGAAAAAUAUAUCGUAUAACUUUAUGAUCUAGUGGUAGCAAGUUGGAUCUUUCACUUCUCUAUCCUUACCCCUAUCAAGAUAAAUAAAUAAAGAUAUAUUCCGCUAUCAAUCUAUCGUCAAAUUCAAUGCCCCACAAAUAUUAAAAUUAAGCAUUACCUUAUCUCUAUACUAAAGAUCAAUGACAGAAACGACUUUUGGAUUGCUCAAUUAUCUUAUCUCUUACCAAAUGAAAGCCACAUUAAAUAUCCAAGUAGAACGCAAUAUGCUUUGCAUCUAUAUAAUCCCCGAAAGCCCAGAAGUAGCAUGCUCCAUGAUUCAUGCUACAUGCUACUAAACCCCACUAAGGCACCAAAUUAGCCUUCUAUUCUUUAGGCGGUCUGCUUCAUGCUGAUUUUCCAUACCAUAAAUUACGUUUUUUCUUCCUCCUUUUAAUGGAAUAAUCAUUCUGCCCUUAUUCUACACUUUAACAGUGUUUCAUUAGUUUGUUUAACUUAAUAUUUAUUUGUUGGAAUCACCAAUUCCUUUUUGUUAAGGGAAUUUCUGAAUUCUUCCACAAAAGUUUUUGAAUAUCUAUAUUGAAUAAAGUCGGGAGAAAAAACUCUCAUUGAUGUUCAAUAUCGAUCUUUAUUGAAAAUUCAGUCAUCUAUCAGACCACAUUUUGAAAACUUAUUUUCGAGAGAGCUAGAAAUUCCCUCAAACACUUUUCUAUUCCUUAAACGGCUGUGAUAGUCAUCUCAAUUCCACCCACAGCAGUAACACACCAAAAACAUGACCAUGUCUACGUCUUUCGACCAACCUUUGAGGUCAUCCGCCUCUGCAAAUAAAACGGUGAUUAGUUCGCCGGUGACAAAAAUCAACAAAAAUAAGAAUUCGUAAAACACAACAGUAGACAGAAGAAUCCCGAAAUUCCCUCUAGUUUUUGGUUAGAGGGACUAAAGAUGGGGAACAACAAACUAAAGAUAUCAAUAGGUGAAUAUUCAAAGAGAGAAAGAGAGGAUGAGCGUCAGAAGGAUGGACGAAGAGAGAAAGUGAGGUGAGAAACUUUUUUGCUUGGAUUAGGUUAAAGUUAAAAUACUAUUUAAUAAAUUAUUAAACAUAAAAUAAAAUGUUUUAAAAAUCAAUCUUGCUAAAAUAUUUUACUUUUUUUUCUUACUUUUAAUAUGUUAAAAUAUUUUAUACGUAAUGGUGUGUUUAAUAAAUGAUUGAAAAUUUUUGUUUUAUUGAGAAUGAAUUUUCAACCUUUAAUAUUUUAGUUUUAGAUGUGUUUAAUAAUUAUUUUAAUUUUUUACUUAAUAUAAAAUUUCAAAAAAAUAUUGAAAUAAAUAUUUAUUUUAUUUUAUUUUAUUCAAAAUUUAAAAUAAAUUAUCUUUUUUUUUUGUUGAAAAUGAGACAUUCAAAUUAUCGUAUUUAUUUUCAUCAAAAACUAUCUAAAAUAAUAUAAAAUAUUAUAUUAAUAAGAUUAAAAUUAAAAAAUAAAUAUUUUUUUAAAAAAAUUAAUUUUUAUUAAAUGGAAGCUUAGUCUGUGAUUCAUAAGGUCGUAUGAGAUCAUCGAGAGAAUUGGGCCAGUAGCUUACCGUUUAGCUUUACCGUAUGAAUUAGAGAAAAUUCACAACGUCUUUCAUGUAUCAAUGUUACGGAGAUAUCGAUCUGACCCUUCACACAUAAUUUCGCCUGUUGAUGUAGAAAUUCUGGUAGAUAUGUCCUAUAGUGAAGAACCAAUUAGAAUUGUAGCUCGAGAAGUCAAAUAGUAAACGAAUAGCUCUGGUUAAAGUUUUCUAGCAUCGUCAUGGGGUCGAGGAAACUACCUGGGAACGAGAAGAAGCUAUGAAAGUGUAAUACCUAAACCUAUUUUCUGGUAAAUUUUCAGGGACGAAAAUUCCUUUAGGGGGAGAGUUGUAAUGACCCAUUUAUAGUGGUGUCAAAAGCAAUGGUCUCGGGACCACGAUUUCGACAA
rnacentral:lncRNA from 1 species